GUCUUGAAGACUGUUAAUACCGUAUUGGUGUCUCUGGGGUGGCUUUCUGUGGCCUUCGGAAUUAGGAGAUCUUCGCCAAUUUUGGCCACCUGCCGGACUAUCCAACAUGCUCUAAGGCUGUGAGUUGGUGUGGCGUCCUCUGUACUGUGAAUUUUACAGGGUCCAUUGAGCCAUCCUUCCAGUACGGUUCCAUGCCCUAUAGAGGGUUUUUGCUUUUUGGUGUUUGACCCGGGUGUCUGGCGAUGAUGCACCCUUUUAUUUCGGACUGGGUUUGUAUUCAGGGCCGGAUCGUCCCAAAAUAUUUCGGUUUUCCAGGCGCUUUCCAUCGCAUAGUACUUACGUACGAUGGACGCAAAGUCAGCGAAGCGUGUAAUAUCACAGCGACUUAUGGCAUUGAGGAUUCCCUUGUCCGUGCAAUUAUUGCAGAAGAUUGAGAUUGCGUCUUCCUCGUGGCAGUCCCUUAUCCUGUUCCUAACCAGGAGGAAUCUGGCCCAGUAAUGAUGUACUGUUUCUUCGGGCUCUUGCCUGAUUUGGGAUAGAUCGCUUGUGUUCGGGUGGGUGGGUGGAAUUAAAUCCGAAGCCUCACCCAAUCUGAGGCUCAGAGGCCGAGGAGUUUCCGAACUCGAAAAUUUGGAUUCCUGGAUGUUGUCCAAUGAAUCCAGCCCGUCGCCUGACUCUAAGUUCAGGUCUUGAGUGAUAUCCUCCCCUCCGCGGGUAUCCGUCUUGGAGGGAUCGGGAAUCCGGACGUAGCUAGUCCUUAAGAUAGAUGAAGGGUUGCCGCACUGUCCCUCUACCACGGCAACAUGAUGGGUGACUUGGGGAGAGUUAAUCUCUCUUAGAUCGGGUUUAGGCCCAAUCUGGUCGUAAUCCGUAACGACUCCCUGGGCGGCGAUGCGAUCCAAGAGCUUGUUUAUGGAGGAGAGCUCCAUUGGAUCUAACUUCUCGGCAAGUUCCGAGCUGACAUGAAGAUUGUUUUCGAUGGCUCGAGAGGUCAUCGUCGGCGUAGAAGCCGAACAGGUGGUCAUAAGAAAACAACCUAGCCGGAGGGUUUGGCCUCCCUUAGCAACGGUGCCGUCUUUAAAGACGGGGCGAGGCAUCCUUCCUGAUGGCGACGACACAGAGGAACUCUCAAUGAAAGCACUAAUGUCGGUGUCAAAAUCGGCGGAUCUCGGGUAGGGGGUCCCGAACUGUGCGUCUAGGCCGGAUGCUAACAGGAGGCAAGGAACACGAAGUUUUACCCAGGUUUGGGCCCUCUUGAUGGAGGUAAAACCCUACGUCCUGCUUGAUUAAUAUUGAUGAUAUGGGUAGUACAAGAGUAGAUCUACCACGAGAUCGGAGAGGCUAAACCCUAGAAGCUAGCCUAUGGUAUGAUUGUUGUUCUCUAUGUUGUCCUACGGACUAAAACCCUCUGGUUUAUAUAGACACCGGAGAGGGUUAGGGUUACACAAAGUCGGUUACAAUGGUAGGAGAUCUACAUAUCCGUAUCGCCAAGCUUGCCUUCCACGCCAAGGAAAGUCCCUUCCGGACACGGGACGAAGUCUUCAAUCUUGUAUCUUCAUAGUCCAGGAGUCCGGCUGAAGGUAUAGUCCGGCCAUCCGGACACCCCCUAAUCCUGGACUCCCUCAGUCCCAUUUGCCCCAGUUCCAGAGGCCCAUUUUGUCCCAGUUCUAGAACUGGGACUAAAGGGUCGGGUCUAAAGCCCAAUACCUUUAGUCCCGGUUCGCUUAUGAACCGGGACAGAUGGGGCUUCACGUGACCGCUGCGGCUUGCCCAGGCAGGAGGGCCUUUAGUGCCGGUUGGUAACACCAACCAAGACCAAAAAGCAUCCACGCGUCAGCAGUUCAGGGGCUGGUUUUUUUAAAGGUGGGAGGGGGUUUGGAGGUUUUGGACGGUUAAUUUAGUGGUUUCAUAUAUUGUGUUAGCUAACUAAUAGAGAGAAGUGCCCCUCUUACCUCCGUGCUUGGUCGACGCUAUGUACUAUACGUAUAGAGAAAACUUGCGACACACUAGCUAGUAAGCAAAUGAAGGAAACCAUUAAGUACACAAGAUCGUCAUGAACAUUUACAGAGAGAAGUGAUCGACCUCCUCCUUCUCCGUGAGAUUGAUCGAACAACAAGUUUUCGUAUAUCUAUCUGACGCUACUAGCUACAUAUACACAAUCUAAGAUCUCUUACAAUCCCUAACAUCUGAAGUCACGUUCCACAUGGUAUUCUCCGGCUUUAUUGAUGAUGUGGUCAAGAAAUAAUCCCGCCAAUUCCUCUUGAAUUGCUUUUAUGCGAUCUUGUGGUAGGAGAUCAUCCUGCAUCUGCUAGAUCUAAAUCGAAGAAGAUGGUCAAUACAUGUGUAUGAGAACAUACGGGGUGGUUGGGGGCCGGCUGGGCUAGCUGGAGUGCGUGCGUGGUUCAAAAGGAAACGCUGGCAAAUGUGAUAUAUUUGUGGGAUAAAAAAUGGGAGGAAACAAAACGAGACUAAUCAAUGAGCUAUGGAUAUGCCCAUCAAUUGAUGUUAAUGCAAGGAGUAGGGAUUGCCAUGCAACGGAUGCACUAGAGCUAUAAAUAUAUGAAAGCUCAACAAAAGAAACUAAGUGGGUGUGCAUCCAACUUGCUUGCUCACGAAGACCUAGGGCAUUUGAGGAAGCCCAUUGUUGUAAUAUACAAGCCAAGUUCUAUAAUGAAAAGUUCCCACUAGUAUAUGAAAGUGAAAAAACAAAAGACUCUCUAUCAUGAAGAUUAUGGUGCUACUUUGAAGCACAAGUGUGGUAAAAAGGAUAGUAACAUUAUCCCUUCUCUCUUUUUCUCUCAUUUUUUGGGCCUUCUCUUUUUUUGUCCUUUCAUUUUUUCCUCACUUGGGACAAUGCUCUAGAAAAUGAUGAUCAUCACACUUCUAUUUAUUUACAACUCAAUGAUUACAACUCGAUACUAGAACAAAGUAUGACUCUAUACGAAUGCCUCCGGCGGUGUACCGGGAUAUGCAAUGAACCAAGAGUCACAUGUAUGAAAGGAUUAUGAAUGGUGGCUUUGUCACAAAUACUAUGUCAACUACAUGAUCAUGCAAAGCAAUAUGACAAUGAUGAAUGUGUUACGAUAAACGGAAUGGUGGAAAGUUGCGUGGCAAUAUAUCUUGGAAUGGCUAUGGGAAUGCCAUAAUAGGUAGGUAUGGUGGCUGUUUUGAGGAAGAUAUAAGGAGGUUUAUGUGUGAAAGAGCGUAUCAUAUCACGGGGUUUGGAUGCACCGGCGAAGUUUGCACCAACUCUCAAUGUGAGAAAGGGCAAUGCACGGUACUGAAGAGGCUAGCAAUGAUGGAAAGGUGAGAGUGCGUAUAAUCCAUGGACUCAACAUUAGUCAUAAAGAACUCACAUACUUAUUGCAAAAAUCUACAAGUCAUCAGAAACCAAGCACUACACGCAUGCUCUUAGGGGGAUAUAUUGGUAGAAAAAGACCAUCGGUCGUCCCCGACCGCCACUCAUAAGGAAGACAAUCAAAGAACACCUCAUGUUUCAAAUUUGUUACUUAACGUUUACCAUACGUGCAUGCUACGGGACUUGCAAACUUCAACACAAUUAUUUUUCAAAUUCACAACUACUCAACUAGCACAACUUUGAUAUCACUACCUCCAUAUCUCAAAACAAUCAUCAAGCAUCAAACUUUUCUUAGUAUUCAACACACUCAUAAGAAAGUUUUUACUAGUCUUGAAUACCUAGCAUAUUAGGAUUAUUUAAGUAAAUUACCAUGCUAUUUAAGACUAUCAAAAUAAUCUAAGUGAAGCAUGAGAGAAUAAUAGUUUCUAUAAAACAAAUCCACCACCGUGCUCUAAAAGAUAUAAGUGAAGGACUAGAGCAAAAACUAUAUAACUCAAAAGGUAUAAGUGAAGCACAUAGAGUAUUCUAAUAACUUCCGAAUCAUGCGUGUCUCUCUCAAAAGGUUUGUACAACAAGGAUGAUUGUGGUAAACUAAAAAACAAAGACUCAAAUCAUACAAGACGCUCCAAGCAAAACACAUAUCAUGUGGUGAAUAAAAAUAUAGCUCCAAGUAAAGUUACCGAUGGAAGUAGACGAAAGAGGGGAUGCCUUCCGGGGCAUCCCCAAGCUUUAGCUUUUAGGUGUCCUUAGAUUAUCUUGUGGUGCCAUGGGCAUCCCCCUGCUUAGUCUCUUGCCACUCCUUGUUCUAUAAUCCAUCAAAUCUUUCAUCCAAAACUUGAAAACUUCACAACAUAAAACUUAAAGUAGAAAAUCUCGUGAGCUCCGUUAGCGAAAGAAAACAAAACACCACUUCAAGGUACUGUAAUGAACUCAUUCUUUAUUUAUAUUGGUGUUAAACCUACUGUAUUCAAACUUCUCUAUGGUUUAUAAACUAUUUUACUAGCCAUAGAUUCAUUAAAAUAAGCAAACAACACACGAAAAACAGAAUCUGUCAAAAACAGAACAGUCUGUAGUAAUCUGUAGCUAACGCACAAUAUGGAACCCCAAAAAUUCUAAAAUAAAUUGCUGGACGUGAGGAAUUUAUCUAUUAAUCACCUUCAUACAGACUUAACUAAAUAUCACUUUCCAAAUAAAAAUGGCAGCAAUUCUCGUGAGCGCUAAAGUUUCUGUUUUUUACAGCAAGAUUAAAAAGACUUUCCCCAAGUCUUCCGAACGGUUCUACUUGGCACAAACACUAAUUAAACACAAAAAACACAACCAAAACAAAGGCUAGAUAAAUUAUUUAUUACAAAACAGGAGCAAAAAGCAAGGAAUAAAAAUAAAAUUGGGUUGCCUCCCUACAAGCGCUAUCGUUUAACGCCCCUAGCUAGGCAUAAAAAGCAAGGAUAGAUCUAGGUAUUGCCAUCUUUGGUAGGCAAUCCAUAAGUGGAUCUCAUAAUAGAUUCAUAUGGUAAUUUUAUUUUCUUUCUAGGAAAGUGUUCCAUGCCUUUCCUUAAUGGAAAUUGGAAUCUAGUAUUUCCUUCCUUCAUAUCAAUAAUUGCACCGAUUGUUCUAAGGAAAGGUCUACCAAGAAUAAUAGGACAUGAAGGAUUGCAAUCUACGUCAAGAACAAUAAAAUCUACGGGCACAUAGUUCCUAUUUACAACCAUAAUAACAUCAUUAAUUCUUCCCAUAGGUUUCUUAAUAGUGGAAUCCGCAAGGUGCAAGUUUAAAGAGCAAUCAUCAAAAUCACGGAAACCUAGCAAAUCACACAAAGUCUUCGGAAUCGUGGAAAAACUAGCACCCAAAUCACACAAAGCAUAGCAUUCGUGAUCUUUAAUUUUAAUUUUAAUAGUAGGUUCUCACUCAUCAUAAAGUUUUCUAGGGAUAGAAACUUCCAACUCAAGUUUUUCUUCAUAAGAUUGCAUCAAAGCAUCAACGAUAUGUUUAAUAAAAGCUUUAUUUUGACUAUAAGCAUGAGGGGAAUUUAGCCCGGAUUGCAACAAGGAAAUAGAAUCUAUCAAAGAGCAAUUAUCAUAAUUAAAUUCCUUGAAAUCCAAAAUAGUGGGUUCAUUAAUAUUUAAAGUUUUGACUUCUUCAAUCCCACUUUUAACAAUUUUAGCAUUAAGAUCUAAAGACUCCGAAUUCUUGGAACGCCGUCUAGGUAAAGGUGGAUCAUAUUCAAUCCCAUAAUCAGAAAGAUUCAUAUUGUAAAACAAAGAUUUAAUAGGGGACACAUCAAUAACUUUUAGAUCUUCAUCUUUAUUAUCAUGGAAACUAGAAGAACACGCUUUUAUAAAGCAAUCUUUCUUAGCAGGCAUCCUAGCGGUUCUUUCUUUGCACUCGUCAAUGGAAAUUCUCGUGGCUUUGAGAGACUCAUUGAUAUCAAGCUUAGGUGGAAUAGAUCUAAGUUCCAAAGAAUCAACAUCAAGAGAAAUUCUAUCAACGUUCCUAGCCAACUCAUCAAUCUUAAGCAAUUUUUCUUCAAUCAAAGCAUUGCAAUUCUUUUGCGAAGUAAUAAAUUCUUUAAUAUUAGAUUCAAAAUCAGAGGGAAUCUUAUUAUAAUUUCCAUAAGAAUUGUUGUAGGAAUUACCAUAAUUAUUAGAGGAAUUACUAGGAUACAGCCUAGGAUUAAAGUUUCCUCUAUACGCGUUGUUACCAAAAUUAUUCCUACCAACAAAAUUCACAUCCAUAGUUUCAUUAUUAUUCUCAAUCAAAAUAGACAAAGGCAUGUCAUUAGGAUCAGAAGAAACACUUUUAUUAGCAAAUAAUUACAUAAGUUCAUCCAUCUUUCCACUCAAAACAUUAAUUUCUUCUAUCGCAUGCACUUCCUUAUUAGUAGAUCUUUCAGUGUGCCAUUGAGAAUAAUUAACCAUAAUAUUAUCUAGGAGUUUAUUAGCUUCUCCUAAAGUGAUUUCCAUAAAUGUGCCUCCCGCGGCCGAAUCUAAAAGAUUUCUAGAAGCAAAAUUCAAUCCGGCAUAAAAAUUUUCUGUAAUCAUCCACAAAUUCAAGCCAUGUGUAGGGCAAUUACGUAUCAUUAAUUUCAUCCUCUCCCAAGCUUGUGCAACAUGUUCAUGAUCAAGUUUCUUAAAAUUCAUAAUAAAGUUUCUAAGAGAGGUUGUCUUAGCGGGAGGAAAAUACUUAGAGAUAAAAGCAUCUUUGCACUUAUUCCAAGAAUCAAUACUAUUUUUAGGCAAAGACGAAAACCAAGCUUAUGCACGAUCUCUAAGCGAAAAAGGAAAUAGCUUCAAUUUAACAAUAUCAUUAUCCACAUCUUUCUUCUUUUGCAUAUCACACAAAUCAACGAAGCUAUUUAGAUGGGUAGUGGCAUCUUCACUAGGAAGACCGGCGAAUUGAUCUUUCAUGGCAAGAUUCAACAAAGCAGCAUUGAUUUCACAAGAUUCAGUAUCGGUAAGAGGAGCAAUCGGAAUGCUAAGGAAACCAUUGUUGUUGGUAUUGGUGAAGUCACACAAUUUAGUAUUAUCUUGAGCCAUCGUGACAAGCAAGCAAUCCAGCACACAAGCAAACAAGAGACGGGCAAAAAGAGGCAAACAGAGAAAGAGAGGGAGGAUGGAGAGAGAGAGGGUGAAUAAAACGGCAAGGGUGGAGGAAAAUGAGAGGCAAAUGGAAAAUAAUGUAAUGCGGGAGAUAAGGGUUUGUGAUGGGUACUUGGUGUGUUGACUUUUGCGUAGACCUCCCUGGCAACGGCGCUAGAAAUCCUUCUUGCUACCUCUUGAGCACUUGCGUUGGUUUUCCCUUGAAGAGGAAAGGGUGAUGCAACAAAGUAGCGUAAGUAUUUCCCUCAAUUUUUGAGAACCAAGGUAUCAAUCCAGUAGGAGGCCACGCAUGAGUCCCUCGCACCUACACAAACAAAUAAAUCCUCGCAACCAACGCGAUAAGAGGUUGUCAAUCCCUACAGGUCACUUACGAGAGUGAGAUCUGAUAGAUAUGAUAAGAUAAUAUUUUUGGUAUUUUUAUGAUAAAGAUGCAAAGUAAAAUAAAUGGCAAAGGAAAUAACUAAGUAUUGGAAGAUUAAUAUGAUGGAAAAUAGACCCAAGGGCCAUAGGUUUCACUAGUGGAUUCUCUCAAGAGCAUAAGUAUUCACGGUGCGUAAAGAAAUUACUUUGAGCAAUUGACAAAAUUGAGCAUAGUUAUGAGAAUAUCUAGGUAUGAUCAUGUAUAUAGGCAUCACGUCCGAGACAAAUAGACCGACUCCUGCCUGGAUCUGCUACUAUUACUCCACACAUCGACCACUAUCCAGCAUGCAUCUAGAGUAUUAAGUUCAAGAGAAUAGAGUAACGCUUUAAGCAAGAUGACAUGAUGUAGAGGGAUAAACUCAUGCAAUAUGAUAUAAACCCCAUCUUGUUAUCCUCGAUGGCAACAAUACAAUACGUGCCCUGCUGCCCCUACUGUCAUUGGGAAAGGACACCGCAAGAUUGAACCCAAAGCUAAGCACUUCUCCCAUUGCAAGAAAGAUCAAUCUAGUAGGCCAAACCAAACUGAUAAUUCGAAGAGACUUGCAAAGAUAACCUAUCAUACAUAAAAGAAUUCAGAGAAGAUUCAAAUAUUGUUCAUAGAUAAACUUGAUCAUAAACCCACAAUUCAUCGGUCUCAACAAACACACCGCAAAAGAAGAUUACAUCGAAUAGAUCUCCACAAGAGAGGGGGAGAACUUUGUAUUGAGAUCCAAAAAGAGAGAAGAAGCCAUCUAGCUAAUAACUAGACCCGUAGGUCUGAGGUAAACUACUCACACUUCAUCAGAGAGGCUAUGGUUUUGAUGUAGAAGCCCUCCGUGAUCGAUGCCCCCUCCGACGGAGCUCGGGCACUACUAGGGAAAAGCCUAUACACAGAAUUUUACCAGUAGCGCUGUACAAAGUCAAGCGCUGCUGCUACUUAGUAGCCGCGCGCGUAAAUAAACCGCGCUACUGCUAUGACUUUAGUAGUAGCGCGUACUAGCGAAAAGCGCUGCUGCUAUGUUUGAACUGGGCACACAUGGCUAGCCCAACCUAGCAGUAGCGCGUAUAAUGGCCCAGCGCUACUGCUAAUCUCCUCAGCUGCAGCGCGCUUACGUGUAAAGCGCUGCUGCUAACGGAAAUAAAAUAAAGUGAAAAACAAGUAGAAAAGUAAAUGAAAAUGGAAGAAAUAGAAAAAGGAGGAAGGGAAAAAAUAAAAUGUAAAGAAAAAUAAAAGAAAAAGGCAAAAAAGGAGAAAGGAAUAGCAGUAGCGGAUUCUGCAGAAAAUCGCUAUAGCUGCAGCGUGUAUUCCAGAACGCGAUGUAGCUAACAUAGCAGUAGCGCCCUUUCUGGAACGCGCUACUGGUACUUCUGACUUAACCACGCGGUUCGUCCUUCCCCACGGCCACUUCAUCCCCCAAAUCAACUCCACUCUCGCCGCCGCCGCCGCCCCUCGGCUGCCGCGCGCUCUCCCCACGCCGCCCCCGACCCCAGAUUCAAUGCCGGCCCCGCCCCCGACCUCAACGCCGCCCGGGACGCCGCCCCGGAGGCCGCCCCCGCCCCCCCGACCUCAACGCCGCCCCGGAGCCCCAACCACGACCUCGACGCCGCCUGCCCCUACCUCGUCGCAGGCACCCGAGGUGAGCACGCCUGCUCCUCCCUCUCCCCUACCUCUGCCUAGGGUUUCUACCUCCAUCAAAUUAGUUAGGGUGGAAACGAAUCGGAUGCAGAUGCGGCUCAAAUGAGUUAGGGUUCAUGUAAGGGUGGAAACGAAUCAAAUUUCUAAGAUGAAUCAUAAAACAAGUAAAAUUUGACCACUUAUUUCACUUUAUAGUUGGAUAAUUGGAAUAUCCGCUACCACUUUCCACCCCUAUAGGUUCAUCAAAUUAGAUGGUAAUUAGGGCAGUAGUUCUUAGGUACUAAUUAGUUAGUAAGAACUAGGUACUAAUUAGGUACUAGAAUAUUUUUAUUUAUAGUAAGUUUAUUUUUAGUAAGAACUAGUUGAAUUAAUAGAACUACUUAGUAAGAACUUGGUGCUAUUUUUUAGUUAAAGAAAUUUUCCCGCAUCGACGUGGACGAUGCCUAUCCCGCAUCCUCGUCGUUGAGUCGGCGGAGGACGACACCUGCUUGACCAGAUGGGCCAUGUCCGGGACUGGGCUCUGCCGGGGUGGUACUGGGAGGCGCUACCUACCGGGGGGCGCAGGUUGGUGAGGAGCCAGCCUGUCAUUGACCCGAACCUUCUUUGGUGGCGGUCGUGUGGGCUAGUGACGGUCCAGAGGCUCGAGGACUCCGCGGAGGUGGUGCGUCACCGUGUUAGUGAGGAGGACGCGCACGUCCAUCGCUACUUGUUUGCGUUGGAGCACAGGUUCUCCAAUACCUGGCAGGUUCUCCAGGGAUCUCACUGGAGCUAUGAUCCCAUGAUGGUUCCUUCUCUGUGGGUGUCCACCGCCCGCGCCGAUACCCGUCGUUUGCUAGGGUUUUAGUUGUACUAGUGAUGUUAUAUGUAUGACACUAUUCGGGAUGUAUUAGUGAUAAUAUUCGACGAUGUACGGACGCAUGAGAUGAUUUACUUUUGCUUAUUGAAUGCAUGCUAAUUUGAGUCUUAUAAGAUAUUUUGAAAUGUAUAUCUUGUGUUGCUCAAUAUCCAAGUGGCCGGUCAUGUUUGCAGGUUACACCUCCGAGUGGCCUAUGUUUUGCCGGAGUGUUGAUUCAUUUCCGUUCUGGCAAAUUUCAGGCGCUCGAUAUAUCAUAUUUUAGCAAAGGUCAUGCCAGAUUUUUCCGUGAAUUUUGGCAUGACUUUUGCCAGAAUAUGUAGGAAAUAUCGAGUGCCCCGGAUUUGUGUGUUGAGUAUCCUGGUAGUUGUCUUCUAUCGAUUUUCAGUUAAUGUUUUAACUAUGAACAUAGGAAAUGUCUGACGACAAAAAGGAUUUUGGUAUUUCCAAAUACUGCGAAGACGAGCACGGCCUGUGCGACGGAAUCUUCCUAGAUGAUGAUAGGCGCUUCAGCAUCAAGCUGGACGAGAACUUCGAAGUGGAUACAGUAAGUCACAACGACAAGUCUUUUUUCGUAAUUAAGCAUGACAUCUGCUUCAUUUGCUUCAACUUAUAUUUUUUUACUAUUCUACUAGAGUAUCCCCUGCCAUGCAAGAGUUUUUGUAUUGGAUAAGAUAGGUUUCAGUCAUACUAUGGAGGUAAAGAAAGUUGAUUUGAAGACCGAGCAUGGUUAUAUUUUCCAUGCAAAAUUAUACAAUUCAGAUGACUACACCUAUUUUGGAUGCAAAACAUGGCAAGCAGUAUGCAAGACUUAUGCAUUUCAGCCUGAUAUGGUUAUCACCUUUGAUAUUCGUCUAGAAGAUGAUAUUGAAGGUAAUACCGACAUCUGGGUCGAUGUGCAGACGCCUCCAGUUACACCAAAAUGUAAGUUUCUCAACCAUAUUUAUGUCUUUGAUAUUGUUUAUUCAAAAAUAGUUGACAACUAAUUUGUAUUGCCAGCUUAUUUUGGUGCAAUCAAACAUGUCCAGCGCUUGGUAGACAGGACCUACUACUGUCCCGGGGCUGAACUAAACUGCGAGGAGCUAAGUCAUUAUGUUUCAUGGCUUGAGGAUCUUGAUACCGUCAAGACAAAUUCUCUUCCCGGACUUAGAAAUCUUAGUACUGAAAACAUGCGACCAAUAGUGUUCGUCAUGAACUACGGUCACAUCUAUUUAGGAAGGAUGGUAAGAUUUUUACUAUUUGUCCUCAGUGCAUCUUUUCCAUACAUUAUUUGUGAAGCUAAACUUCAUUGCUAAGUAUGUGACCAUACGAUGUUCUUCAACAGGGACUCCCGAUGAAUGUUGUGCCUUAUGGGAUCGAGACUAAAGGUACCAUGAGUAUUAUUAGCUUACAUCCAAGAUAUCCUACAUGUUAGUUUAGUGCAUUCAAGAUCAGCGAUGAAUGCUUAAUAGUGCAAGACUGGACCAGAUAUGUGAUGGGGGAGCGCAGACAAGUACUAGGGGGCAGCAAACAGAUGUGCUACCCAAAAUUAGGAGACAUGUUCAUCUGCAUGCUCCAACUUGAUCAAGGAGGAGAGCUACACAUGUUUUAUGUUGUUUUACCUAAGAGAGAGCAGCAGGAGUGAUUAGCUAGAAAUGAGUUUGAGGAUGAUGAUGUGCUACACUAUUACUAUGAUGAUAAAAUAGCUAGUGUUGGUGGUAAUGACUGAUGAUUAUUAUUAUCUAGUGUUAGUGGUGAUUAAAUAAAUAUUGUUGGUGCUAAUGAUUAUGAUGAUGAUUAAAUAGCUUGUGCUGGCGGAUUAGAUUCAAGUGGAGGCAACAUGUGGUGCACAUCGAAAGUACUACUAGUCCAAACUAGAUCAAGUUUGGAUUAGUAGUAUACUUUUGACAUGCACCACAUAUUGCCUCCACUUGAACCUAAUCCACCUUCAUUUGACACACUGUUAUGGACAUAAUGAUGUAAACCUCAUAACUCGUAUUGUACCAAUAUUUGUACGAUGGCGCAUAAAUACACUAAAAAUAAAAAAAAUAAAAAAACAAUACUAGUAGCGAUGGAAAGAAAACACGCUGCCAGUAGUUACAUUAGCAGCAGCGUGGGAGUGAACAAGCGCUGUAGCUAUUUGUCCUAGCAGUAGCGCGUGCGGCACGCGUUACUGCUAAGCAAUAGCUGUAGCACCUUAUUAGUAGCGCGCCUACCCGCGCUACUAGUAAGCACAAAACCAGCGCUACUGCUAGGGUCUUCCCUAGUAGUGGGGAAAAGGCCCCAAGAUGGGAUCUCGUGGAUACAGAAAGUUACGGCGGUGGAAUUAGGGUUUUGGCUCAGUAUCUGGUAGUUUGGAGGUACGUAGGUAUAUAUAGGAGGAAGGAGUACGCCGGUGGAGCGACAGGGGGGCCACGAGGGUGGAGGGCGCGCCUGGGAGGGGGGGGGGGGUAGGCGCGCCCCCAACCUCAUGGCCUCCUGGUUGAUGUCUUGACAUAGGUUCCAAGUCCUCUGGAUCACGUUUGUUCUGAAAAUCACGUUCCCGAAGGUUUCAUUCCGUUUGGACUCCGUUUGAUAUUGUUUUUCUGCGAAACUCUGAAAUAGGCAAAAAACAACAAUUCUGGGUUGGGCCUCCGGUUAAUAGGUUAGUCCCAAAAAUAAUAUAAAAAUGUAUAAUAAAGCCCAAUAACGUCCAAAAUAAAAUAUAAUAUAGCAUGGAACAAUAAAAAAUUAUAGAUACGUUGGAGACGUAUCGGCCGUCACCCCGGCCGCGACGCGCCCUUUUAGGCGCCUUUCUCAGACGAAGCAGCUCGAGCGCUGGCGCUUGGGGCUUUGCUUUAACUGUGACGCGCCCUAUGCCCCGGGCCAUGUCUGCCCACGCCUCUUCUACUUGGAGACGACCGAGGAGACCGAGGAGGACACACCAGAGGAUGGCCUCGGCGACCUAGCCGCCGCGGAGCUCACACCUGCACCCGCGCCUGCUCCGGCGACGACCCUCGUCGUCUCGCUCCACGUGCUGGCUAGCAUCCGUGAUGAACGGGCGAUGCUUUUACCGGUCACGAUCCAUGGCAAGCAUUUGGUGGCCCUCCAGGACACAGGCUCCAUGCAUAACUUCCUACCGGAGACCACCGUGGAGCAGCUACGGGUCACCGUGGCUAAUGCCGACCGUCUACGCUGCCAUGGGCUCGCCCACGAUGUGCCCAUCGCUAUCGGCAACGAGCACUUCACCAUCACAUGCGUCGGCAUUGAUUUGGGCUGCUUCGACUUCAUCCUCGGCGUCGACUUCUUGCGGACUCUCGGUCCCAUCCAUUGGGACCUCGAUGCCCUGACGAUGACCUUAUGGUGUGUCGGGCGCCGCGUCCGCUGGGAGGGCAUUGGGGGCACCCCGGCGUCGCACCCGCUUCAGCUGGCCGCAGCCACCACCGAGGCCGAGCACCCGCUGUUGGACCACCUCCUGCAGCAGCACCGUGAUCUCUUUGAGGAGACGCAGGGCCUUCCACCGGCCCGGGUCUACGACCACCGUAUUCACCUCCUGCCGGGCUCAGCACCGGUGGCUGUACGGCCCUACCGGUAUCCUCAUCUGCAGAAGGACGAGUUGGAGCGGCAGUGUGCACUCAUGCUUGCCGCAUGCAUCAUCCAGAUCUCCACGUCGCCAUUCACUGCGCCGGUCCUCCUCGUUCGCAAGUCAGACGGCACGUGGCGUUUUUGCAUCGACUACCGCGCCCUUACUGCUCUCACACUUAAGGAUAAGUUCCCUAUCCCGGUGGUCAAUGAGCUUCUCGAUGAGCUGCAUGGGGAGCGCUUCUUCACCAAGCUGGAUCUCCGGUCGGGGUAUCAUCAGGUGCGCAUGCACCCAGACGACAUCACCAAGACGGCGUUUCGGACUCAUCACGGCCACUUCGAGUUCUUGGUGAUGCCUUUUGGCCUCUCCAACGCCCCGGCUACCUUUCAGGCUUUGAUGAACGAUGUCCUCCGGCCCUACUUACGUCGGUUUGUCCUCAUUUUCUUUGAUGACAUUCUUAUCUACAACGCCUCUUGGGCAGAGCACCUCCCGCAUGUGGCCAUCGUCUUCAACGAGCUUCGGGCGCAUCAUCUUCAUCUUAAGCGCUCGAAGUGCUCGUUCGGGACGCCUUCUGUCGCUUACCUCGGUCACGUCAUCUCGGCCAAGGGGGUGGCCAUGGAUGCCGGCAAGGUGGCGACCGUCGCCGCCUGGCUGAUUCCACAGUCUCCGCGGGCUCUUCGAGACUUUCUGGGCCUUGCGGGGUACUACCAGAAAUUCAUCCGGGAGUUUGGCCUCAUCGCGGCCCCGCUCAUGCGCCUUCUCCAUCGCGAUGCCUUCUCUUGGGACGAGGAGGCCACCACAACGUUCGAGGCCCUCAAGGGGGCCCUCACGAGGGGUCCCGUCCUGCAGAUGCCUGAUUUCGACAUCCUGUUUGCCGUCGACUGUGACGCCUCCGGUGCGGGGUUCGGUGCAAUCCUUCAUCAGGGCGAUGGACCCCUCGCCUUCUUCAGCCGGCCCUUUGCCGCCCGCUAUCUUAAACUGGCAGCCUAUGAGCGCGAGCUCAUUGACUUGGUAUAGGCGGUGCGUCACCGGCGGCCCUAUCUUUGGGGUCGAUCCUUCUGGAUCCGUAUGGAACACAACAGCCUCAAGUUCGUGCUGGAUCAGAGGCUCUCGACUGUAUGGCAGCACUAGUGGAUCAGUAAAAUCUUCAGGUUUGACUUCACUGUCGAGUACCGUCCGGGUCGCCUUAACACCGUCGCCGACACCGACACAGACGACGGUGCGGCGGAGGGGGCGGCCUUCUGCAUCAUCACCGGGCCCUCCUUCACCCUCUUCACCGACAUCCGGCGAGCGACAACAGCCACGACCGACGCACUCCUCCUGCAGCAGCAGCUGGCUGCGGGGGAACUAGAUGAGCCGUGGCGCCUCGCCGAUGGCUUGCUCCUUCAUGGGCGCCGGGUCUUCGUUCCGGCGCACGACAAUCUUCGUCAUCAGGUGUUGCGCCUCGCCCACUCGGCGGGCCAUGAGGGUGUGCAAAAGACACUCCAUCGUCUUCGCGCCGACUUCUACAUUCCAGGUGAUCGUGCCCUGGUCCGUGACUAGGUACGGUCUUGUGUGACGUGUCAGCACAACAAGACGGAGACUCUAUGGCCGGUUGGCUUGCUCCAGCCUUUGGAGGUGCCGUCCCAGGUCUGGGCGGACAUUUCCAUGGACUUCAUCGAGGGCCUCCCCAAGGUGGGCGGCAAGUCCGUCAUUCUCACGGUGGUCGACCGCUUCUCCAAGUAUGCCCACUUCAUCAUGCUUGGGCAUCCGUACACGGCGGCGUCUGUCGCUCGGGCUUUCUUCGAAGGCAUUGUCCGUCUCCAUGGGUUCCCAUCUUUGAUCGUCAGUGCUCGGGACCCCGUGUUCAUGGGCCAUGUGUGGCGCGACCUAUUCCGGUUGGCAGGCAUUAAGCUCCGCCUGAGCACAGCUUUCCACCCUCAGACGAACGGCCAGUCCGAGGUCGUUAACAAGGUGAUUGCCAUGUAUUUACGUUGUGUCACAAGUGGUCGCCCUCGCGCAUGGGUGGACUGGCUAUCAUGGGCGGAGUACUGCUACAACACCUCUUAUCACUCCGCCCUCCGUGCUACACCUUUUGAGAUGGUUUAUGGAUGGUCACCACCGCUGAUUAUUCCUAUUGAUCCGUCAUUAGAACGGACCGAGGCGGCCGGUGCUCUUCUGCGGAACCAUGACGAGAUGCUGGCAGAAGUCCGGCAACGCCUCCUUCAGGCCCAGCAGUUGGCCAAACACUACUACGACGGCAACCAUCUCGAGGCGGAGUUCGCGGUGGGCGAUUGGGUGUGGCUGCGUCUCCUUCGUCGCUCUACCCAGUCCCUGGACUCACGCGGAAAGAAUAAGCUGGGUCCUCGCUAUGCCGGUCCCUUUGCUAUCCUGGAACGCAUUGGGAAGGUGGCUUACCGUCUUCAGCUUCCGACAGGUGCGCGGAUUCAUGAUGUCUUCCAUGUGGGGCUGCUCAAGCCUUUCCGUGGAGAGCCCCCCGCGGUUCCUCCAGCGCUACCGCCUGUCACCGACGGGCGUCUCCUUCCUGAGCCGGAGAAGGCAUUGAAGGCUCAGCUGCGUCGUGGCUCCUGGUACGUGUUGAUUCAGUGGGUUGGACUUUCAGAGGAGGACGCGACUUGGGAGCAGCGCGAGGAGUUCCGCCAACACUACCCCGACUUUCAGCUCGAGGACGAUCUGUUUGCGCAGGCGGGGAGAGAUAUUAUGACCGGCCGAACCUACGGCCGUAGGAGGCCCACCGGGCAAGCUUAGCCCGCAAGUUAUCUUAGUUUCUAUUUCACAUCGUGGUUAUAUAUACAACUUGUAGGGCUAUUUUGAGAUUUAAGCAAUAAGACAAUUCUAUUGCUCGGCUCCCAGAGGAGCCGGAAACCCUGAACCCUAGCCGCCUCCUGUCUCAGCCGCCGCCGCACCGCCGCAAGGAUGGCGCCUCGCCGCCGGCCGCCGCGCUCCAGCCCUCGCCCACCUCCCUCCUUUCCCUACAAGCUACGCCCUAGACGAGGGAGAACCCUAGCUCCUAUCAUACUCAGAGACAAACGUCAAACUAUUUCUUUACCAAAGGCAAGUUAUUAACAUCAACAUAGGAGAAUUACUCUCCUGAUCAAUGAUGUAUCAGUUGUUUCAUAUUUUGAGGCCCUGUUGAUUUAUAGUGCAAAACAUUGACACCCAGGUUUCAGGCAUGCCAUGAAUAAAAUAUUAUACUUUGGCCAGCAGUGGCAUGGAAUAAAAGGGAAACUACAAACUCAAAGAAAAAGAUGGACAACAAAGCAACCCAAACAACACAGAAGUAGGCGGUGAAACACAAUGACAAGCAAGCACACAAGAUAGACAGAGACCGAUAUACUUUACAGAAUAAAUGCAGAACAGGGCGAUUCAUUUUAGGUCGAAUAUCAUCAACAGACAGAGAUACAAAUUUACGGCAACGGAAGAAAAAAGUUGGCUGUUUUGGAAGCAGAAACCAAGUCCAUUGCACAAGCAAAUUAGCAAUAGCACAGCAGCACCACACUGCAAUAGUAGUACAGCUGGGUUGUAAAUUAUAAACAUAACAUAGCAGAGUCAGAUAAAAAAUGGAUGGAUAGAAGUAUCUUAUCAUAACACAGGUUAUAAGCUAAUACCAAUGUUAUUGACAAUAGAAAGAUAGAUACAACCUUAAUGUAAGACCUUUUUGCAGUUUACUACAUUGAGUUACAGAGAGAGUAGAUAGAUAGAGACGGGCCAAGCGAGGCAUAUUCUCAGUUGGGCAGCAAGCUUGAUCCCUUGUGCCAUCCAGUCUUCCUCAAGCAGCGUCAUCUUCGAGAAUCACUCAAUCACAAGAGCUUCAACGAGCGCAUCAUCUUGGUCAGGAACAUAUGGACGAUAACCGUCUGCAUCCCUCAGCCUGUCCUCCGGGGUGGCAAUCUGAAUUCCAGUAAAAUCCAUCCUCUUCCAUUGUUCGGCAACGUACUCAUUCGCCUUUUCCCUGUUGGAAAUGAGCUCUUCAUCGACCUCGAAGUAGCCCUUGUCCCGCACAGACACUAAGACCUGCUGCCGGUACUCUUCGAAAUCGUCGUCCAUCUUCUUGAAAAGCUCUACACUGUCAGCGUGGGCACGCUUCCUUUCCUCAAUCCACUCCGGAGGGAAAUACUCUGCCAGAUCGUCCAGGUAAUCAGCGCUGGGGUGUUGCUCCGGCUUCAGCGCAAUUAUGGUCCUGAUCUCGGCUUUCGACAGCCGAACCUUGCCCUUGUUUGGACCUGGCGGUGCUGCGGCCGGCUGAUUGGCGACGGCGGACGACAGAUUCGCCUCCCCAAGCAUCUUGUCAAUCGCAGCUACCCCCUUCUCUGACUCGUCACCCUCCGUGUAGAUGGAUCCGGCGGCGGAGGGGAACACCGCCGCAGGACCAUCGACGCCGGCCUCCGUCGAAUUGGCAGCGCUGCCCGGACUAACCAUCAACUUCCCCGCCUCCUCCUUGCCCGCCAUGGCCUCUUCUUGAUUGAUUGAUGGUUCCUCUGCUGUCGACGUAGAUCUUGGGUUACGAGGUUUGUCGCUUGCGCUGGUUUGGGGAUUGGAUUGGAGGAGGCGGCGGUGCCAUCUCGAUCUAUAUAAACAUGGAAAGGAAGAGGAACCCUAGCCGAGCCGAGCGAGCCCUUCUUUGCUCUGCACCCAGUCGGUAUCGGACCCCGUUUACCGCCCGGUCUCGGCCGGAACUCGACCACCAGCGCAGCUUAGUCCACCGAUCAUGACACGCUGGGCAGGCCCCGGCCACUGCCCCUGCCUCUCCGUCUUUGUCUCCUCUUCCCCUCGUUUCCCUUUUUUCUUUUUCUUUUUCUUUCCUUCCCACAAAAAUGCUUCCUCCAUUUAUUAAAAAUAUUAUAAGGUGUGUUAAUAUUUUUGGAAAUCAAAGAUUUCUCUGGUUGAUCAAGUUCAUACUGAAAAUUGUAUUAUAAUAACAAAUAAAUAAAUUAUAAAAAUAUGCUUCGUGAUGCUUCUAAUGAUACAUAUUUGGUAUCAGAUCCAUUGAUGUUUUCCUCUACUUAUAUAGGUAAUAAAAAGAAUGCUCGUGCAUUGCAACAUGCAUACACAUUCUAGUAAAAUCAUGCCCACGAUUUGCCUGUCUAAAUAUGUACACAAUCAUGGGUAGGAUUUCAUAUGGUAACACAUAUUUACCAAUUAUUAGAAAAUCUAGUAAGUCAAUAAGGGAUUAUUUGGUAAGUUCAUAAAAGUGGGGUAGUUAAGGUGGUUUUCAAGGAAAAACGUGGAAAAACCUGGGAUAGGAGGGAAAAAUCGAAACAACAUCAUCUUGCCUUUGUAUCGGGUUAUUCGAAUGUUUCGAUAAACCUCUAUCUCUAUUUUUAUUUCGGUGUUUGUCUGAAAAGGUGAAUAAGUACCUCUUUCUUCCUUUCUUGUUAUGUACAUGGCUGCAUUAUAUCAUUUUAAAAUUAUUUUAUAGAUGAGUAAUUAAAUAUUCUCAAUAAAUUACACUACAAAGAAUAAAGAGACUAAACAAAUGAAAACUGGGGAAUGGAAGUGGGAACAUGACCAAAAAAAUAAAGAAAGAUGUAAAUAACAAGUCUUCAAUAAACAAAAUGAGAAAAAAAUAGAAGGACUAAACAAAGAAAGAGAGAACAACCCAUGACUAAAUAAAGUGAAUGAAAUAAAAUAGAGAGAAUGAGUCUCAAAAAGACCGACCAAAGAGUGACCAUGGACUAAGAAUAUUUUUUUCUUGAAUGACUAACAUGGUAAAAGGUGACACUGGAAAAAAAUACUACCAGCGCAAAGACAUUGAUUACUCAUAAUAUCACCAAAGAAAAGGAAAUAAAUAUAAAUGAACACUAAAAAUGUACUCUUUUCUUCAAUUAAUCUACAGACUUUGAAUACAUGACUGUCCCAUUACUUAACUCACCCCAUCGAUAAGUGUGCCAAUGAAUCCAAAUGCUAAAGGCUAGUUUGAGACGUGGAUAAAGGAUAAUGACAACUAAAUGACUUAGAAAUGGGAAAAAUUAGGUUCAUGCUAAAACUAGGUUGAAGGGAAACACUGAAGAAACUGUAAUCCAUGCACGGUAGACAUUUUGGUUGGUACAUUAUCAAUUUUAUUCUGGCUAAGACGAGGAAUAAUGCCAUGGUCAACACUGUAUGGUGAAAAGUGGACAUUGUAAACUUAACUACUAGAGUACUAAAGGAUUAAGAAUGAAAUGUCAGGCACAAUUUCCUUGCAGUGGGUUAGCAUCUACUGCAUGUCAUGGCGGGUGUGUGGUAUAGGUCUAGGACUGGCACCCUCUCCCGAUCUCCUCCUGAUCUUUCUCUCUUUCCUUACCGCUCACGAAGGCCACUGCUGGACAAGGACGCGCAACGCCCACUAGUAGAAAAAGGGUCAAAAAUGAAGCACAUUAGUGUCGGUUUGAAUUUGAGCCGGCAAUAAUGGUACCAUUAGUGCCGGUUCGAACGACUAUGCAUUAAUGCCGGUUCGUGUUGAACCUUUAGUACCGGUUCGUGCCACGAACCGGUACUAAAGGGGUGAUGGCAGGCUGGCGUCAGGCUGGGGCCCCACGAUCACCUUUAGUACCGGUUCGUGGCACAAACCGGUACUAAAGGGCUAACCUUUAGUACCGGUUUGUGCCACGAACCCGUACUAAAGGGGUCUGACCUAUAGUACCGGUUUGCGACACAAACCGGCACUAUAGGGCAAUUUUCAAACUCUAACCCCCCCCCCCUGGUGUGUCGCCAUUUCAGUUCUGAAAAAAUCAAAAGAAAAUGAUAAAAACUUCAAAAAAUAAAAUCCUUCUAGAGGUAGUUAUAUUACGACAUCUACUAGUUAGGAAAAUUUGAAAACUUAAAUUUGGACAUGUUUUGCAAAAAGUGUAGGGAAAAUGUAAAACGGCUAUAACUUUUGCAUACGAUGUCGAAAAAAACGUAUAAUAUAUCAAAAAAUUAAGCACAAAAAUCUGCAUCCGAUGGAGACAGCCUAUGGCUUCUUUGCAAUUUUUUAGAAUCCUCAAAUUCCAAAAGGAAAAAAAGAUAUGGUCAAAUUUUGAGUUUUUUUUAAAAAAAUUGUUAAAUCUGGUCAAACUACUUAUUCAAGAAGUAUUAAUGUUACUACAUAAUUAUUCAAGAAUAUUAGUGUUACUAAAUAAUUAUUUGAAUUUUGGUCAAAUCUGGUCAAACUAUGGUCAAACUAUGGUCAAACUGUGGUCAAACUUAUUCAAGAAAUAUUAGUGUUACUAAAUAAUUACUGUUUUAUUAGAAUAAUAGUUUCAAACUCAAACAGUGAAAUGUGUGACUUCAUGCUCAAGCUAAACUCCUGAGGGUUAAUAGGAUUGGCAUCUUACUAUUGUCAGGAAACCAACAAGUGCAGACUUGGAAACGAAGGAGAAUAGAACCCAAAAGUUAAGCGUGCUCGGGCUGGAGUAGUGAGAGGAAUGGGUGACCGGUCGGGAAGUUAGAUGAUUUGGAAUGAGUGAUCCACACUUGAGUAGUUAAGAGAGGUGAUUAGAGGCUAGAUCACCAAAUAAUUCUGAAAAUUUAAAAAUCGAAAAAAAAUAUCAAAAAACAUUUCCAAAAUUUUCAAAAAAAAACCUUUAGUACCGGUAACACCAACCGGUACUAAAGGUCCCCAAUACCAGGGCGCGAGCUCACGCCACGUGGUGGCACUUUAGCGCCGGUUCGUGCCGAACCGGCCGGUACUAAAGGGGGAGGCCUUUAGUGCCCACCAAUUAGUGCCGGUUAUGGAACCGGCACUAAAUGCCCUUACGAACCGGUUUUAAAGCUCCGUUUUCUACUAGUGGCCUAUGAUGAAGGUGGCGGGGAUCUGAUCUGUUGGAAAUAUGCUCUAGAGGCAAUAACAAAUUAGUUAUUAUUAUAUUUCCUUGUUCAUGAUAAUCGUUUAUUAUCCAUGCUAUAAUUGUAUUGAUAGGAAACUCAGAUACAUGUGUGGAUACAUAGACAACACCAUGUCUCUAGUAAGCCUCUAGUUGACUAGCUCGUUGAUCAAUAGAUGGUUACGGUUUCCUGACCACAGACAUUGGAUGUCGUUGAUAACGAGAUCACAUCAUUAGGAGAAUGGUGUGAUGGACAAGACCCAAUCCUAAGCAUAGCACUAGAUCGUGUAGUUCGUAUGCUAAAGCUUUUCUAAUGUCAAGUAUCAUUUCCUUAGACCAUGAGAUUGUGCAACUCCCGGAUACCGUAGGAAUACUUUGGGUGUGCCAAACGUCACAACGUAACUAGGUGGCUAUAAAGGUACACUACAGGUAUCUCCGAAAGUGUCUGUUGGGUUGGCACGAAUCGAGACUGGGAUUUGUCACUCCGUGUGACGGAGAGGUAUCUCUGGGCCCACUCGGUAGGACAUCAUCAUAAUGUGCACAAUGUGAUCAAGGAGUUGAUCACGGGAUGAUGUGUUAAGGAACGAGUAAAGAGACUUGCCGGUAACGAGAUUGAACAAGGUAUCGGGAUACCGACGAUCGAAUCUCGGUCAAGUAUCGUACCGCUAGACAAAGGGAAUUGUAUACGGGAUUGAUCGAAUCCUUGACAUCGUGGUUCAUCCGAUGAGAUCAUCGUGGGACAUGUGGGAACCAACAUGGGUAUCCAGAUCCCGCUGUUGGUUAUUGACCGGAGAACGUCUCGGUCAUGUCUGCAUGGUUCCCGAACCCGUAGGGUCUACACACUUAAGGUUCGGCGACGCUAGGGUUAUAGAGAUAUUAGUAUGCGGUAACCCGAAUGUUCUUCGGAGUCCCGGAUGAGAUCCCGGACGUCACGAGGUGUUCCGGAAUGGUCCGGAGGUAAAGAAUUAUAUAUAGGAAGUGGUAUUUCGGCCAUCGGACAAGUUUUGGGGUCACCGGUAUUGUACCGGGACCACUGGAAGGGUCCCGGGGGUCCACCGAGUGGGGCCACCUGCCCCGGGGAGGCACAUGGGCUGUAGGGUGUGCGCCUUGGCCUAUAUGGGCCAAGGGCACCAGCCCCAAGAGGCCCAUGCGCCAAGAGAUAAGGAAAGUAAGAGUCCUAAAGGGGGAAGGCACCUCCUAGGUGCCUUGGGGAGGAGGGACUCCACCCUAGCCGCACCCUUCCUUGGAGGAAGGGCCAAGGCUGCGCCCCCCCCCUCUCCCUUGGCCCUAUAUAUAGUGGGGGGAAGGGAGGGCAGCCACACCUAAGCACUGGCGCCUCCCUCUCCCUCCCGUGACACGUCUCCCUCUUCCUGCAGCGCUUGGCGAAGCCCUGUUGGAAUCCCGCUACUUCCACCACCACGCCGUCAUGCUGCUGGAUCUCCAUUAACCUAUCCUCCCCCCCUUGCUGGAUCAAGAAGGAGGAGACGUCGCUGCUCCGUACGUGUGUUGAACGCGGAGGUGCCGUCCGUUCGGCGCUAGGAUCAUCGGUGAUUUGGAUCACGACGAGUACGACUCCAUCAACCCCGUUCUCUUGAACGCUUCCGCGCGCGAUCUACAAGGGUAUGUAGAUCCACUCCUCCCUCGUUGCUAGAUGACUCCAUAGAUUGAUCUUGGUGACACGCAGGAAAAUUUUGAAUUAUUGCUACGUUCCCCGACAUGAUCCCCGACGGUCUCAUGGGCCAUCGGUGCGGGAUCCUCCAAGGCUGCAGUGCGAUGGAGUAUUUGACAAAAAACUACCAGUUUUGGGGUUUGGAGUUGGUGUCCCACAGAACUACAACAUUCAAAAUUUUGACCAAAAACUAUCACUUUUUUUGUAAUUCAUGCCGAAAAACUAUAGCUUUUGUUGAUGACAGUUUAUGACAAGCGGGACCCACCCGUCAUGGAUGAUGUGGAAGGACAGUCAAUGUCAUUUAUUUUGACCAUUAAGUUGACUGUUAUGACAAAUGGGGCCCACACGUCAACAUACACUUUCCUCUUCCUCCUCCUCUCUCUUUGUAUUUAGCAUUUCAACAAACAGCUACUGUGCAUUGGUGGACGACUGCAACAAGGUGAUGGUCGCGAUGGACUCGGCGUUGAGCAAGGUGACGAUGGUGAGGCUCGGCGCCGACCUGGUCGAGGCGCGGGUGGUGUACUAGGACGUGCACGACGUGUCGUAAGCAAAAGGAAAAGGCGUAUAUGAAAUGACCUAAGAGAUCCUUUGUCUAAAACUAUACAGAAUAAUCUAACAAACAACAGUGUAGUGCAUGGUGUCAGUGUAGACUGUGCUGUGAGAUCAUGUGUCAAGGGUUAACUCAUAGGAGUUUGGAAAACAACAUAGUGGUUGUUGCUUGGAAUACAUGUGACAUAAGGGUUCACAUGCAAGUUUCAAAUAAAAGGGCUCAUCACAUAAGGAGAAUGUGAUGUCAAGUUGUGGUUGCCAGAUUCUGAAAAAGGAAUGUAGCAACUAGAGUCGUGGUCUAUGAAUCUUGGAUAGCCAAGUUCAUGUCCUAGUUUGAAUGACAAUUCAACUUCUUGACUUUUCAUGAGCUUGAACACACACUAAGUGUCUAGGUUUCAUCUAGGUUCAUCAAUUUGGUUUGGCUCACAAUAAAAUUUGAAUUAGGGUUUACCUUCCUUAAAUUCAAUUUCAAUUGAGGUUUGAAUUUGAAUCCCAAUUAAGUUUGAAAUAACAAGGCUAGUUCAAGUUCAAAGAUAUGUCAUAAUUGGCUGAUGUUGUUUCAUGAAUUCGUUUGCCAGGUAUUUAAUUUAAUUCAGACUAAUUAAAUGACUUAUAAGUUUCCUUAGGUUUGCCCAAAUUCAAAUUUCACUUGGAUUUUCUCUAAAUUCAAAUACAAAUCCUAUAUAAUUACUAAAUUUUAUUUAUUUAAAUUCAAGUUUAAACUAAAUCUAAGUUUAAACCCAAAAUCAUUUACUAAGUGUAAAUAGCUUUCAACUUUACAUAGUUUGAACUAAAAUUGAUUUUAAGUUUAAUCCCUAAAGUCAAUUGUAUCUCCAAAAUAUUUACUAGGUUUAAUUUAUUUGUUCACUAAGUCAUAUUGCAAGAGUUUAUUCAAAUUAAACCUAUAGUUUUAAAGUUAAUAACCAAAUUGGUUUAAGUGAAUUCAAUUAUUUAUUUAAAAUAUCUAAAGUCAAGUAAUAAUCGCAAACUAUUUACUAAAGUUCAUUUUGGGUUUUUGUAACUUAGUUGCAAGAUAAUUAUCCGAAUAAACAUUUUGAUUCCAAGGUUAAACCAAAUUUUAGGUUUAAUAUUGUUUGAAUUAUAGCCAUUGUUAAAUAUAUUCAAUUUUAAUUUUUUAAUCAUUUAAAAAAUGGACUACUGUAGCUAAGUUGAAACUAUAUUUCCCUAGAUUCAUUCUGCAAAAGGAAUCCAUUAAUUUUGAUUUAUAAUUUGCAAGUCAUGCCGUAUUUAAGUUUGAAUUUUAAACUUUUCAAGAGUCUAAUAUUAUUUAGUGAAUAUUUUCAUAACGAUCAUUUUGCAAAAAGAUUCACUAAAUUUUGAUUUACAGAUUAAGAGUUAUGAUGGUUUGAAAAUACAGGGGGUCUAGUGUAAAACCUGGAGUUAGUUCAAUUUAGUAGAAAAUGUUUCAGAUAAUCUUUUGGAUAAGGCAGUGAUGUGGCGUGUUUCAAUUGGCUGGUACCCGUUCGUUUAAGUGAUUGUACGUGAUGUGUUGUGUCUAAGAUGAACGGCCAGAAAUAGAUCUAGGGGGUCUCACUGAAGCUAGGUCGUCGAAGUGGUCGCCGGAAAAUGUGAAGACGGCAGCAGACGGUGGCACUAGCCUAAGGGUUGACGAUCCGCCGUUCUGUUGGUCGUCGGAUGUGGCCGAUGGCACGGUUGGGCUCGGCUCGCCGUCGCAGGUCUCCUAGUGGCCUUGCGUGCCGUUGGGGACGAUGGAAACGAUGGCCACGGGCUCGCUAGAGAUGAGACAGGCGGCAGAGCUCUUUGUAUGGACGUGCGCGGAGAAAUCAAAUGCGCCUGGAAAAAUGGACAGGCUUAGGACAACGAAGAUGGUGGACACGGUUAGGGCAUCUGGCAUGAGCUCGGCAGCGCGGCAGAGAGCUUCGGGCUCCUUUGAGCUCGAGCUUCCCGGAAGUUCUGGGUUUGCCGGGGAUGUCCAACGGGUGCGCGAGGGGACGACGAGGCUGGUGGUGGCUCAGGUUGGUGCUGAGGGCAUCGGGCUUCGCCGGAAAAUUGUCAGCGAUGGCUAGGUUAGCGGCGGUGCUCGGGUGUUGGUCUCAGGGAGCCUGAUGGCGAUGUGGUGGGGAAAUUGAGGGGAAAUAGAGACGGUGAUGAGGGGUUUUUAUAGGACAUGGUCGCGAGGCAAUUCUAGCAUGUUGGGCACGCGAGGUGGAGGUCAUGCGUCGACGUGCUCGGUCGUGGGCGCGGGCGUGCCAGGGGUUGCGGCAGGAGGAAGCUGAAGCGUGUGUCUCAUGCGUUUGUGAGAGCGAGAGAGAGACACAGGUGCUGGCGCGGCGGGCUCGCGGGGCUGGCUAGCUGGACCACGACCAGGCGUGCUGGCUCGCUGGACCUUUUUAUUUUUAUUUUUCUUUUGUUUUUCUUUUCUGUGUUCUUUUUAUGUUUUGUUUCUAAAUUCAAACCCAUUUAGAAUUUGGAUUUUAUUCCAACAGAAGAAUUGCUCUAAAAUCUAUUUGGAAUAUUCCUACAUUGUUUUAACUUUUUGUUUGGGCCUUUUGGGCAAAUAUUUUUUGCACUUUAUUUUCUAUCUUGUUUUAAAUACUCUCUGUGAAUAACUUUUUUAUUUUUCAAAAUGAUUUUUCUUCUGUAUUUCUUUGUUUUGGUUUUAUCUUGAUUCGCUUUCAUUUCAUUUUGAAAUUAUUUGUGUUUAACCCCUUUGGGUUUUUACUUAACUUUCUGUUCUCAGUUGUUUUAGGUUUUAACCAAAGUCCACUAGGUUUCCACUAAUAUUGUGGGGGCAUAUACCCCUCCUAGGUUGAUCAAAUCAAGGCAAACAAAGUCAUUCAUCAAGCAUUUCCUAGGCAAUGUAGUUAACUAGAGAGCAAGCAGGGGUUUUGUUGGGAACAUUUUAAUUCCCUGUGAAAAUUUUAAUGUACCAGAUUUGGGAAAAAUCUGGGAUGUGACAGUGAUGUUGGGCAUGUGGUACAGGUCUAGGACUGGCAACUUGUUUGGAUGAGAUUUCUUCACGUGUGUAUAUCUUGGUUAUACGAAUCACAAUACUAUUACUCAUCUUGAAGAUAAGUAAUUUCUGGAACAAAUGAAGAAGAAAAAAGGUGUAAUUUUAUGAGGAUGUCCAGCUCAUAUUAUUUUCUCAUGUUCACGUUCCAAACUGUGCAAAAUAUCAACAUAUUUGUCCUGAAUAAUGUCUUCACUUAUCCAAGUACGCAGAAUAUGGGUGCAAGUGCCAAAGUUGGCUCUCUUCUGUUUAUUCACUUAUUUCAGCAAGCCCAACUACGGAACGCUUUCCAGGAGGUGGUAAUCUCCGUGCCAAUGAGAACCACUCCCAGCUGAAAGCGUUUCCUGGCAUUUUGCUUUGCAGACAGACUUCGCAGCAGUAUCCGUUAGAUGCAAACAUCCGAAAUGUUGUUUGGUAGGCCCUAUAUUGUGGCAUGGCAGCCUGAUACCAGGAGGCACAAAAUUCUUUCAGUGCCCCUGUUUCACUGACAUUACCGCUAGAGCCCUGUUACAGUUCCUACAAUCCACCCUGUACGUAUGUCUAAGGCUAUGUUCGGUUACGCCCUUCCCCGCGUGGUUUUGGGCCCAAACCACGGGGAUCCAGGCGGAUCGGCCCCACUAGGAAAUAAUCUCCGCGUUUUUGAUUUGACGCAUUCGGUUAAGCCUCGAGCGGAUCUUUCCCCCGUUAAAACCCCUCAAAACCGCGAGGAAAAAAUCAGCUCCAGCCCAUCCGUGGAAAAAAUCCGCCUCUCUCUCUCUCGUAAUACGUAGCGGGGGCGUGGGCUUAACCGAAUGGAAGAAAGAAGCCCCGAUCAUCUUUGUGGCAGGGAGUCAACCCCCACAAGGGUCAGGUGCUGACACCCAAUACCGGCAGGGAUUAGUUCCACUAGGGGAACUAAUCUAUUGUAACCGAACAAGGCCUAAGGGAAAACAAGAGAAAACGAAGGGCAGAAUGGUCGACAAACAAGGCAACAACACAUUCUUGGGCCGGGGGCGGGCGUUGUUGGUUUUAGGACGAAGUGGAGCAGCAAAACUAGCUUGGACAUGAGAAAAAUCAGCCACAAGAGAAGCAGCCCAUCCCCGACAACAGAAUUGUGAAUUAGAGCAUCUCCACUCGUUCGGCCCUUAGGCGCACUCGGCGAUUGUGGUUUUGCCCUUCGGCCGGCGCAUUUUUGGCCCUGGAGGCGAUCUAGUUCCCAGUCACGCCCUCUAGAUUAGUUUCUAAGACGCGAAUAAAUUCAAACAUGACAUUUCCCGCUACCCAAAAAGAAACCACAAGUUCGGCGUUCAAUUUCACAAAGUUCGGCGAUCACCAUGCCACAGUUCGAUGAUUAAUUAUACUCGAAAGUUCGGCGUUCAAAAGGAAGGACGCGUAGGCAAUGCAUCAAACGGCGGUGUGCUCCUCCGGCGUCGGACUGCCAGGAAUCGGCGUGCUCGGGCUGGUCGUCGUCGGCGCGGCUUCUGUGCUGGGCGUCGUGGAGGCAUCAUCACUCGGGCUUCGCGGCGUCGUUGGUGUCAUCGUGGGAGUUGGCGCAUAUCGUUUGGAUGAGUGCACAAUGGUUCGUCAUGGCCUUCGAGCCACGCUUCAUGUGGAUGGUGGCGAAGUAGGGGUCGACCAACUUAUGCUCGUCGAACUCCGACUUGAUGCGCUCCCAGUACAUGUUAGCGCUUUGGUUUGCGCCGGUGAUCGGGUCGAGGCAGACAGUCUUCCAUUCUUCGGCGAGGCACUCGUCUUCUUUGGACGUUGAAAGUGCAACUAUCCCUAGGUGGUUUUGGUAAUUCAUAACAACAUAUAGCUCAUUGGGCUAAUACUAUUUCAAGAUAAUUAUUUCAGGAAAGCUCAAUGAUUGGCAUGGCAUGGAUGUGAAAGUGGAACCCUCAAAAUGCUAAGGAUAAUGGAUUAGCUCAAGCUCAAAAGCUCAAGACUCUUCAUUUUAUAUUUUAGUGAUCCAAGAUCACAUUGAGUCCAUAGGAAAAGCCAAUACUAUCAAGGAGGGAUGAGGUGUUGCUUAAUGAGCCUCUUGCUUCAUGUGCUUAAUGAUAUGCUCCAAAAUCCUCAACCACUUUCCCACUUCCACAAAUGACCAAAACUCUAAGCCAAACUCGGUCCUACCGAUUUUUCCUAUCCGGCGCCACCGAGUUUCACUUGUCAUUAGCCACUGCCAAACCCUAGCAAUUCGGUCCUACCGAUAAGGAUCUCAGUCCCACCGAGAUGGGGUUGCAAACUCUCUGUUUCCCUUUCGUAACUUUUCGGUCCCACCGAAAGAGCGAAUCGGUCCCACCGAGAUUGCAAUGUAAACUCAGUGUUUCCCCUUUGUAACUUUUUGGUCUCACCGAGUUCCACUCGGUCUCACCGAAAGAGCAAAUCGGUCCCACCGAGUUUGCCUGACCAACUCUCUGGUUAGCUAAUUACCAAAUUCGGUCUCACCGAGUUUGUGUAAUCGGUCUCACCGAGAUUACGUUAUGCCCAAACCCUAACCAUAUCGGUCCUACCGAGUUGCAUGUCAGUCCCACCGAAAUUCCUAACGGUCACUAGGUUUACUAUUUCGGUCAGACCGAGUUUAUUGAUUCGGUCCCACCGAGAUGGGAAAACUGUGUAACGGUUGGAUUUUGUGUGGAGGCUAUAUAUACCCCUCCACCUCUUUCUCAUUCAAUGAGAGAGCCAUCAGAACACACACAUCAUUCCAACUCAUUUGUUCUGAGAGAGAACCACCUACUCAUGUGUUGAGACCAAGAUAUUCCAUUCCUACCAUAUGAAUCUUGAUCUCUAGCCUUCCCAAGUUGCUUUCCACUCAAAUCUUCUUUCCUCCAAAUCCAAAUCCUAUGAGAGAGAGUUGAGUGUUGGGGAGACUAUCAUUUGAAGCACAAGAGCAAGGAGUUCAUUACCUAUACACCAUUUGUUACUUCUUGGAGAGUGGUGUCUCCUAGAUUGGCUAGGUGUUACUUGGGAGCCUCCGACAAGAUUGUGGAGUUGAACCAAGGAGUUUGUAAGGGCAAGGAGAUCGCCUACUUCAUGAAGAUCUACCGCUAGUGAGGCAAGUCCUUCGUGGGCGAUGGCCAUGGUGGGAUAGACAAGGUUGCUUCUUCGUGGACCUUUUGUGGGUGGUUGCUUCUUCAUGGACCCUUCGUGGGUGGAGCCCUUCGUGGACUCGUGCAACCAUUGCCCUUGGGUGGAGCCCUGUGUGGACUCGCGCAACCGUUACCCUUCGUGGGUUGAAGUCUCCAUCAACGUGGAUGUAGGAUAGCACCACCUAUUCGAACCACGGGAAAAACAUCCGUGUCUCCAUUAUCGUUUGAACUCUCCAAACCCUUCCCUUUACAUUCUCGCAAGUUGCAUGCUUUACUUUCCGCUGCCCAUAAACUCUUUGCAUGCUUGCUUGAAUUAUUUGAUGAUUGCUUGACUUGUUCUAAGAUAGCUAAAAUCUGCCAAGAACUAAAAUUGGGAAAAGGUUAAGUUUUUAUUUGGUCAAGUAGUCUAAUCACCCCCCCUCUAGAAAUACUUUCGAUCCUACAAGUGGUAUCAGGGCUUUGGUCUCCAUUUGCUAGAUCUCCAUAGCUUUUGGUGGUCAUAGCCUUGGUUUCACAACCUAGGAGAUUAUGGUGUCUAGCGAGGGAAAUUAUCACCGUAGAGGUCCUUACUUUGAUGGUACUAAUUUUGCUAGUUGGAAGCAUAAAAUGAAAAUGCAUAUUCUUGGACAUAACCCCGCUGUUUGGCCUAUUGUGUGUGUUGGUUUGCAAGGUGACUUCUUUGAUGGGAGAGAACCAAACCGUGAAGCUACCGCGGAUAAGUUGAAGAUGUUGCAAUACAAUGCUCAAGCUUGUGAUAUUCUCUUCAACGGAUUGUGCCCCGAAGAAUUCAACAAAAUCAGCCGCCUUGAGAAUGCAAAGGAAAUUUGGGACACUUUGAUUGAUAUGCACGAAGGUACCGACUCCGUCAAGGAAUCCAAGUUGGAUGUGCUUCAAAGCCAACUUGACAAGUUCAAGCUGAAGGAUGGUGAAGGUGUCGCUGAAAUGUACUCUAGGCUUUCUCUCAUCACAAAUGAGAUUGCCGGCUUAGGAAGUGAAGAGAUGACCGAUAAAUUCAUCAUCAAGAAGAUCCUAAGAGCCUUAGAUGGAAAAUAUGAUACAGUGUGCACAUUGAUCAAAAUGAUGCCCAAUUACAAAGAUCUCAAGCCAACGGAGGUGAUUGGAAGAAUUGUUGCUCAUGAGAUGUCACUUAAGGAUAAAGAGGAACUUCACAACAAAUCAAGUGGUGCUUAUAAAGCCUCAUGUGAAGCCCCUACAUCAUCAAGUGAGAAACAAGACUUCAAUGAAGAACUGAGCUUGAUGGUGAAGAACUUCAAGAAGUUCUACAAGAGUAGAAGCAAAGAUAGAAGCUCCAAAUCAAGGUCCUACAAUGACAAAAGAUCUUCUAGUCGAGAGCGAAACUGUUACAAUUGUGGAAGACCCGGACACUAUUCCAAUGAGUGUACGGCUCCCUGCAAGAGAAGAGAAGAUUCUCCAAAAAGAAGAAGCAAAGGAUCACCACCAAGAGAGAGAAGGAGUAGAGAUGAUCGUUAUGAACGAAGAUACUCACGGAGAAGCAAGGAUUCGGAAAGGAAGGAAAAAUCAUCAAGGAGCUACACAAAACGAAGACAUCAAGCUCAUGUUGGUGAAUGGGUUUCCGGCUCCGACUCCGACAGCCACUCCGAGAGAAGUUAUCACUCUUACUCCAAAGAUACUCAAGAUGAAGGUGUUGCCGGUCUAGCACUUGUGUCAACCGACUCCUACGACAUAUUUGACUCACCAAAUGAGGGAAUUGGAAGAUGCUUCAUGGCCAAAGGUCCUAAGGUAACACACCCUGAGUAUGUUGAUUUCAAUAGUGAUGAAGAUGACUUGUUAGGUGAUGAUUUGGUUGGCGACAACUCUAGUGAUGAAUACUACGAUAAUCAUGCUAAUCAAGAUAAAACGAGUGACAAUGAUAAGGAGAAGAUUGAGGCUCUAACUAAAGAACUAAAAACUCUUAAGUUAGCUCAUGACACUAUCUUCGAAGAUCAUCGAGAACUUUUAAGAGCUCAUGAGAAACUAUGCAAUGAAAAGUUCAAUCUUGAGCAAGAGCAUGAGUUCUUAAAGGCAAUCAAUGAUGAUCUCCGCAAGAAAAGUUCUUCUUACAUUGCCAAGCGUUUACUCUUAUCCACUUACAUGCCUCAAGUCAAGUCUAAUUCUUCCUCUAGUAGUAACAAUGAUCAUGCCAAAUUCAAUACUGUUGCCUCUAGUAGUUCUCUUGAUUCCACUAAUGAUUCUCUUAGCCAAGUUACACUUGAGGAAGAAAAUAGCUUAUUUAAGGGAAUUAUAGAGAAAGGAGUGUACAAGAGCCUUUCCGGGAGUAAGCAAUUCGAGGAAAUUGUGCGCAAGCAAGGAAUGCACCGGAAGAAUCAAGGUGUUGGUUUUGAACGAAAGUUCAAUGCCAAUGGAGUUGAAUGGGAAGAAGAUCAAUACCCCAAGACAAAGUUUGUCCCUCAACAAGAGAAGUAUACUUCUUUCAAGGGGACACAAGCUCAAGAUGAUCUUCCACCACAAGACUACGAGCAAAAAGGCAAGGACAAGCUUCAAGAGGAAAUUGAUGCAUUUGAAGAAGCUCCUAAGACCUUAGUCAAGUGGAUCCCCAAGACUUCUUCAAGUUCCACUUCAUCAAGUAUGACUACAACUCCAAGGAUUCCCAUCAAGAUGAUGUGGAUCGAAAAGAAGAAGAACUAGAAAGUUCUUGAGGGUGACUCCGCCAACAUACUUCACUCUUAUCAUUUUGGCAAGAACAAGUGCAAUCAACUUCCACAUCUUGCACUAGUUCAAGGAGUCACAAACCCUCUUGUUGGUAAGACAAGGGACAAGGUAACCUAAAAGCUUUCAUGGACAUCAUCUUUUGUGUGCAUCACUCUAUGUCUAUGGAUAUCCUUGCUUUUUCCUUGUGGGUUGAAAGUGCAAUUCACUCAAAUGGAUAGCUCCAAGAGAUCUACAUCAACAUUGAGCAUCCACAUCUUCAAUAUCUACAUGAAGUCAUCAUCGACAAAACCCAAGGUUAGUUCAUCCCUCUUAGGGGGGAUAUCACAUCUAGGGGGAGCUUUACUCAAAGACUUGAGCUAAAGCAACUCUAAAGAUGUGAACAAAACAAUGCUUUAUGUAAAAGUGGUAACCCCACUUGAGCUUAAACGAUGAGUAUGACCUAAGAUCAAGUGUUCUCACUUGACUCCUAAGUCAAUAUACUCAUAUAUAGAUGACCUAGUCAUCGCAAAUUGCUUGAUAGAUGCUAGAAUUGGUUGUGCAUGCCUUGCCACAUAUUCCAUUUGCCAUCUUAUUGUGUGAGCAUGCUGAUUGCAUAUUUUACUCAUUCGAGGACAUCCACUUGUUGCUUUGAUUGUUCGGUUUUAUUUCUUUUUGCCAAGUGGAUGGACAAGAAUGCCUAAGAACCUCCUCUAGCUAUCUAUGCUUUUCUCGUCUCAAACUCUAUUCAUGCUGCAUCACAAAAUUUGAUCAAGUCAGAUUCGAACCACUCUGUGUGAGGAGCGCUCGGAGUCCCCGAUUCGUCAUAGACUUAAACUUCCAAAACCUCUUUAUGAUUCUCGGUCUGACCGAUACUUCACUUUCGGUCCUACCGAGAUCAUUAAGUUGAUCUAGGUUUUCGAUCUCGGUGCAACCGAUUUGAACCUGUCGGUCUCACCGAGAUUCAGUAACUGCACGUAGUUAUGAACCUCGGUGCCACCGAGUUGUUCAACUCGGUCACACCGACAGGGUCGGGCUAUAUAUAGUGACGGGCAAAAUUUUGGAAAUUUCUCCGAAACCCCUCACCCGCGCGAUAGCCUGCUCUGCCCCCGAGGUCUCCGGAUCGUCUUCUCGCCGCCAGCAGCCUCCAGUCGCUGGUCUCCGGCGCCGUCAACGGAUUUCUGCCCUGCCGUUGCCGCCGUAGCAAGUCCUCGCCGAACUAGGGUAUGGACUUGAUCUUUGUGCUAUUCCUCAAUCUGAUUCCUAGCACAUUGUGAUCAUAUUGAUUCUUGCCACGAUUGAAACACUUCUAUCCAGUCAAAACGCUCAUAGGUUAGGUUUGAUUCGAAAAUUCUAGGUUUAGGUUUCCGCUGAAACCAUCUCGGACCCACCGAGUUGAAAAACUCGGUCCCACCGAUCUAGCUUUUGCCAUUGCACAAGUGAAACUCGGUCUAACCGAGAAUAACUUAUCGGUGCGACCGAUUUUGGAAUUCUGUGAAACCCUAGCAGUCUCGGUGCCACCGAACUGUGACUCGGUCUGACCGAGUUCACCAGUUCUGGUGCCAAAACUGCUUCGGUGUCACCGAGUUUGAAAAUCAGUAGAUCCGAGAUGCUUUCUAUGGAAAACUAAAACUAAGUUUUUGAAUUAAUCUUUUGCUAAAAUCUCUGCUUUUUGUGAUGCUCAUCCACUCUAUCUCCUCUAUAAUCUAUUCACAGGGUCAGCAGUCAGUUUGCAACAUGUCUGAUCAAAGUGACAGCCAGAAUGUGUCUGAGCAGCAAGUUGUGAUGAGUGAGGGCACUAGCCCCUUAAGUUCUUCUGAUGAUGGCAGCAGGAGCACCCCCAGCAAUCUGCCUAAGGCUGCCACACGUCAAAGGAAGAAGAGAACGUAUGAUUCUGAAGAUGAGGACUAUGUGGCAGAGGAAGAGGCCACUUCCAAGAGGGUUGAGCCAGCUCAAGGCUCAAAGACAGGCCUGAAAAUCAAGAGGCCAGCAGGCAGGCAGCCAGUGUCAAAGGCUAGAGCCUCCACUGAGAAGCCUGCUCCCAUUGAGCCCGUUGCUGCUGAGGGCAAGAAGAGGAAGGAGAGAGUAAAGAAGACUGUAGCCAAAGUGCUUGGGAGAGCCUCCAUCAUGGUAGAAGAGGAGGAGGAAGAAGAGGCAGCUGCACCAGCGCCCAAGGCAGCCAAACUUAUGGGAGAUGCCAUAAGGUCAGGAACAGCUGCAUCCAAGCCCAAGGAAGCACCCAAGGCUGCAUCUAAGCCUAAGACAGCACCAAAGAGAAACACAAGGAGUAUACCUGCUGCAGAAAAUAACAAGGCCCCAAUGCCUGAAGCUAUCGAAGAAGAAGAAGAGAGUGUCCUUAGAAAGCUCAAGCCCAAGAUCCCAGACCACAACGAUGCUCAUCCUGUGGCUGAGGAUAUGAAGCUAAGGAGAGACUCAGGACUCAGGAAAUGGAGAGAAGCAGAUCCAUAUGCUUCUAGGAGAAGGACUGCCGUGGAUUACAGAUUUCAUACCAAGGAGCAACAAGACUUUUAUGAGACUGUUUUGCUUGACAAGAAGCCAAUCGUUUGUGACAUGAGAUGGGUCAACUGGACCUAUAUCAAGGAGAAUGAAGAGUACUACCCAGGAGUUCAGGACAGCUUUAGGGCGUGUGGAGUAGAGGACUUUGUUGGGCAGAAGCUCACAAAGUGGAACGAGGAACUCAUCAUGUAGUUCUACUCCAUAGCUCACUUUUAUCCGGAUGGCAAGAUUACAUGGAUGUCUGAGGGUACGAGGUACCAAUCCACUGUUGAGGAAUGGGCGAAAUUAAUCAAUGCCCCAGAGGAGCAAGCAGAUGACUUGGAUAUCUACGCCAAGAAGAAGAUGGAUCAUAACUCCAUGUCCAACAUGUACAAGGAGAUCCCGAAUGAAGCACUUGACACAUUCAAGUUUGGCUCAGUACAUUAUCUGCUCUUAGGAUUGCCUACGAUCAAUUGGAUACUAAGGCUGAAGGAAAUAUGCCCUAGAGGCAAUAAUAAAGUUAUUAUUUAUUUCCUUAUAAUCAUGAUAAAUGUUUAUUAUUCAUGCUAGAAUUGUAUUUUCCGGAAACAUAAUACAUGUGUGAAUACAUAGACAAACAGAGUGUCACUAGUAUGCCUCUACUUGACUAGCUCGUUAAUCAAAGAUGGUUAUGUUUCCUAACCAUGAACAAUGAGUUGUUAUUUGAUUAACGAGGUCACAUCAUUAGUAGAAUGAUCUGAUUGACAUGACCCAUUCCAUUAGCUUAGCACCUGAUCGUUUAGUAUGUUUCUAUUGCUUUCUUCAUGACUUAUACAUGUUCCUAUGACUAUGAGAUUAUGCAACUCCCGUUUACCGGAGGAACACUUUGGGUACUACCAAACGUCACAACGUAAAUGGGUGAUUAUAAAGGAGUACUACAGGUGUCUCCAAUGGUCGAUGUUGGGUUGGCGUAUUUCGAGAUUAGGAUUUGUCACUCCGAUUGUCGGAGAGGUAUCUCUGGGCCCUCUCGGUAAUACACAUCACAUAAGCCUUGCAAGCAUUACAACUAAUAUGUUAGUUGUGAGAUGAUGUAUUACGGAACGAGUAAAGAGACUUGCCGGUAACGAGAUUGAACUAGGUAUUGGAUACCGACGAUCGAAUCUCGGGCAAGUAACAUACCGAUGACAAAGGGAACAACGUAUGUUGUUAUGCGGUCUGACCGAUAAAGAUCUUCGUAGAAUAUGUAGGAGCCAAUAUGGGCAUCCAGGUCCCGCUAUUGGUUAUUGACCAGAGACAUGUCUCGGCCAUGUCUACAUUGUUCUCGAACCCGUAGGGUCCGCACGCUUAAGGUUACGAUGACAGUUAUAUUAUGAGUUUAUGCAUUUUGAUGUACCGAAGGUUGUUCGGAGUCCCGGAUGUGAUCACGGACAUGACGAGGAGUCUCGAAAUGGUCGAGACGUAAAGAUUGAUAUAUUGGAAGCCUAUGUUUGGACAUCGGAAGUGUUCCGGGUGAAAUCGGGAUUUUACCGGGUUACCGGGAGGUUACCGGAACCCCCCGGGAGCCAUAUGGGCCUUCAUGGGCCUUAGUGGAAAGGAGAAAGGGGCAGCCCAAGGUGGCUGCGCCUCUUCCCCCUCCCCUAGUCCUAUUAGGACUAGGAGAAGGUGGCCGGCCCCCCUCUCUCCCUUCCCCUCCGAGGAAUCCUAGUUGGACUAGGAUUGGGGGGAGGAAUCCUACUCCCAGAAGGAGUAGGACUCUCCUGCGCCUCUCUCUUUGGCCGGCCAGCCUCCCCUCCUCUCCUCCUUUAUAUACGGAGGCAGGGGCACCUCUAAACACACAAGUUGACACAAGUUGAUCCACGUGAUCGAUUCCUUAGCCGUGUGCGGUGCCCCCUGCCACCAUAUUCCUCGAUAAUACUGUAGCGGAGUUUAGGCGAAGCCCUGCUGCUGUAGUUCAUCAAGAUCGUCACCACGCCGUCGUGCUGACGAAACUCUUCCCCGACACUUUGCUGGAUCGGAGUCCGGGGAUCGUCAUCGAGCUGAACGUGUGCUCGAACUCGGAGGUGCCGUAGUUUCGGUGCUUGAUCGGUUGGAUCGUGAAGACGUACGACUACUUCCUCUACGUCGUGUCAUCGCUUCCGCAGUCGGUCUGCGUUGGGUACGUAGACAACACUCUCCUCUCGUUGCUAUGCAUCACAUGAUCCUGUGUGCGCGUAGGAAAAUUUUUGAAAUUACUACGAAACCUAACAAGAACAUCCUAAAAUACCUGAAAAGGACUAAGGAUAUGUUUCUCGUAUAUGGAGGUGACAAAGAGCUCACCGUAAAAGGUUACGUUGAUGCAAGCUUUGACACUGAUCCGGACGAUUCUAAAUCGCAAACCGGAUACGUGUUUACAUUAAACGGUGGAGCUGUCAGUUGGUGCAGUUCUAAACAAAGCGUUGUAGCGGGAUCUACAUGUGAAGCGGAAUACAUAGCUGCUUCGGAAGCAGCAAAUGAAGGAGUCUGGAUGAAGGAGUUCAUAUCCGAUCUAGGUGUCAUACCUAGUGCAUCGGGUCCAAUGAAAAUCUUUUGUGACAAUACUGGUGCAAUUGCCUUGGCAAAGGAAUCCAGAUUUCACAAAAGGACCAAACACAUCAAGAGACGCUUCAACUCCAUCCGGGAUCUAGUCCAGGUGGGAGACAUAGAGAUUUGCAAGAUACAUAUGGAUCUGAAUGUUGCAGACCCGUUGACUAAGCCUCUUCCACGAGCAAAACAUGAUCAGCACCAAAGCUCCAUGGGUGUUAGAUUCAUUACAGUGUAAUCUAGAUUAUUGACUCUAGUGCAAGUGGGAGACUGAAGGAAAUAUGCCCUAGAGGCAAUAAUAAAGUUAUUAUUUAUUUCCUUAUAAUCAUGAUAAAUGUUUAUUAUUCAUGCUAGAAUUGUAUUAACCGGAAACAUAAUACAUGUGUGAAUACAUAGACAAACAAAGUGUCACUAGUAUGCCUCUACUUGACUAGCUCAUUAAUCAAAGAUGGUUAUGUUUCCUAACCAUGAACAAUGAGUUGAUUGAUUAACGAGGUCACAUCAUUAGUAGAAUGAUCUGAUUGACAUGACCCAUUCCAUUAGCUUAGCACCCGAUCGUUUAGUAUGUUGCUAUUGCUUUCUUCAUGACUUAUACAUGUUCCUAUGACUAUGAGAUUAUGCAACUCCCGUUUACCGGAGGAACACUUUGGGUACUACCAAACGUCACAACGUAACUGGGUGAUUAUAAAGGAGUACUACAGGUGUCUCCAAUGGUCGAUGUUGGGUUGGCGGAUUUCGAGAUUAGGAUUUGUCACUCCGAUUGUCGGAGAGGUAUCUCUGGGCCCUCUCGGUAAUACACAUCACAUAAGCCUUGCAAGCAUUACAACUAAUAUGUUAGUUGUGAGAUGAUGUAUUACGGAACGAGUAAAGAGACUUGCCGGUAACGAGAUUGAACUAGGUAUUGGAUACCGACGAUCGAAUCUCGGGCAAGUAACAUACCGAUGACAAAGGGAACAACGUAUGUUGUUAUGCGGUCUGACCGAUAAAGAUCUUCGUAGAAUAUGUAGGAGCCAAUAUGGGCAUCCAGGUCCCGCUAUUGGUUAUUGACCGGAGACGUGUCUUGGUCAUGUCUACAUUGUUCUCGAACCCGUAGGGUCCGCACGCUUAAGGUUACGAUGACAGUUAUAUUAUGAGUUUAUGCAUUUUGAUGUACCAAAGGUUGUUCGGAGUCCCGGAUGUGAUCACGGACAUGACGAGGAGUCUCGAAAUGGUCGAGACGUAAAGAUUGAUAUAUUGGAAGCCUAUGUUUGGACAUCGGAAGUGUUCCGGGUGAAAUCGGGAUUUUACCGGGUUACCGGGAGGUUACCGGAACCCCCCGGGAGCCAUAUGGGCCUUCAUGGGCCUUAGUGGAAAGGAGAAAGGGGCAGCCCAAGGUGGCUGCGCCUCUUCCCCCUCCCCUAGUCCUAUUAGGACUAGGAGAAGGUGGCCGGCCCCCCUCUCUCCCUUCCCCUCCGAGGAAUCCUAGUUGGACUAGGAUUGGGGGGAGGAAUCCUACUCCCAGAGGGAGUAGGACUCUCCUGCGCCUCCCUCUUUGGCCGGCCAGCCUCCCCUCCUCUCCUCCUUUAUAUACUGAGGCAGGGGCACCUCUAAACACACAAGUUGACACAAGUUGAUCCACGUGAUCGAUUCCUUAGCCAUGUGCGGUGCCCCCUGCCACCAUAUUCCUCGAUAAUACUGUAGCGGAGUUUAGGCAAAGCCGUGCUGCUGUAAUUCAUCAAGAUCGUCACCACGCCAUCGUGCUGACGAAACUCUUCCCCGACACUUUGCUGGAUCGGAGUCCGGGGAUCGUCAUCGAGCUGAACGUGUGCUCGAACUCGGAGGUGCCGUAAUUUCGGUGCUUGAUCGGUUGGAUCAUGAAGACGUACGACUACUUCCUCUACGCCGUGUCAUCGCUUCCGCAGUCGGUCUGCGUUGGGUACGUAGACAACACUCUCCUCUCGUUGCUAUGCAUCACAUGAUCCUGUGUGCGCGUAGGAAAAUUUUUGAAAUUACUACGAAACCCAACAAAGGCAUACUCUACUCCCUAAGUCUGGAGAUCACAAGAUGAUCAGAGGUCACGCGAUCAACUUGCUUCAUGUCUUUGACGUGCCUCAGAAAUUCAAGGUCAUGAGUCUCAUUAUGGAAACCAUUAAGAGGAUGGCUGCAGAUCAGAAGAGGAGCUGUGGAUAUGCCCCUCAGAUUCAGGAGCUCAACAACUCCAAGAUGGGCACGGGCAUAUACUUGUUGGAUAAGGAACACCUGCCCAUCCAUCCAGAUUUUGAGGAUAACCAAGUGGUUAUGACUGAGAAUGAGCCCUCAUCUGCCCAUGCAUUUGCAAAGAAGGAGAAGGCGAAGAAGGAAAAAGCUGCCAGGAUGCCUACUCAAGAGGAGGCAUCUGAUUACUUCUUGAAGACCAAACAAGAGCAGCUAGGUUACUUGAUUUCAUCCACGCUGAGAAUUGAGCAAAGUUUGGCCAACCUCACUAAGAAUCAGCAGAGCCUAGAGAGGAUCAUGGAACAGAAGUUCUAUGACUUGGAUGUCAAGGUACCAGAAGUUCAGUCUGUAGUGGAGCAGCUCCAGGAGGACAUGAAUGAGAGGAGAGGCAGGACCACGACUCAUGCUUUUUCUAGAGUGCCACGAGGUCCGAGGUCGUCUGCACUGCCAGUUGCUGACACCAGAGCCACUACUUCAGUACCAGCUACAGCCUCUGCUCCAGCGUCUACUUCAGCUCCAUCUCCAGCGACUACUUCAACAUCUACAGAAGCCUUCGUCCUUGGAGUGAUCCGGACUCCACCACCACCUGAAGAUCAAGCCUGAGCAUCGAUCUACACUAGUAGAAAACGGGCCAUUAGUACCGGUUUGUAAGGUCCUUUAGUGCCGGUUAUGGAACCGGCACUAACGUUUCGGCACUAAAGCCCCCCCCCCUUUAGUACCGGUUCAGCACAAACCGGUGCUAAAGGAGAACCACGUGGCACGAGCCAGCUCCGGGGGCCGGGUGCCCUUUAGUACCGGUUGGUAACACCAACCGGUACUAAAUGGUUGUGGGUUUUUGUUUUAUUUUGCAUUUUUCAAUUAAAUUUGUGUUAUCAAUUUAAUUUAGGAUUGUUUUACGUUAUAAUGAGUUGUAGUCGUCAUCAUCAUCAUCAUCAUCAUCAUCGCAUAUUAAUAAAUAAAUAAACUCUAGCUAACUAAAAAUCAUCGUAGUCGUCUAAUUACCACUAUUUAAUCAUCAUAGUCAUUACCGCGCUAGCUAUCUAAUCAUCAUCAACGCUGGCUAGCUUAAAGAGGAAACAUUCACUUUGUAACAGAAGCAAAGAUAUCAUCAAGUUCAACAUAAUCGUCACCAAGACGAAGUUCAGGACACGGACAUGAGACAAGUACUAAUUAAGAGCAUGAACUAGUAGCCACUGAUCCUGCUGCUCCCUCUCAGGUAGAAUAGCAUAGAACAUGUAUAGCUCUCCUGAUUCAUCAUACUGGAGCAUGCAGAUGAAUCUGUCUCCUAAUCUUGGGUUGCGCUUCACCUUACUGCCCCCUAGUACUUCUCUGCGAUCGUUAACAAUUUUGCUCCAAUCUUUCACUAUUAAGCAUUCUUCGCUUUCAGAAAUCCUGAAUGCACUCAUGUGCAAUGUAGGAAAUCUUGGUCGUAAGCUAACCAUUGACAUGCGACCUUUUGUCUCGAUCCACUGAGGCACAACUGUCAUCGGAAGUCCCUGUUGAACAACAUCGUAUAGUAAUUAAUAUACUAAGCAAUGAAAGUUUAGCUUCAAAAAUAAUGUAUGCAAAAGAUGCACUAAUUAAGGACAAAUAUUUAAAAUCUUACCAUCUUUUGAUUAUAGAUGUGACCGUAGUUCAAUACGAUCACCAUUGGUCGCACGUUUUGAGUACUAACAUUUCUAAGUUUAGGAAAAAAAUUUGUCUUGACAGUAUUAAGAUCCUCAAGCCAUGAAACAUAAUGACUUAUCUCCUCGCAGUUUAGUUGAGCCCCGGGGCAGUAGUAGGUCCUGUCUACCAAGCGCCGGACAUGUUUGCUUGAACCGAAAUAAGCUGACAAUACAAAUUAGUUGUCAACUAUUUUUGAACUGUAUGAAAGACAUAAACAUAUGCAUGCAUGGUUGAGAAAAACUCACGAAAUGGUAGAACUGGAGGCAUUUGCACAUCGAUCCAGAUGUCUAUAUUACCUUCAAUACCAUCUUCCGGACGAAUAUCAAAGGUGAUAACCAUAUCAGGCUCAAAUGCAUAAGCCUUGCAUAGUGCUUGCCAAGUUUUACAUUCAAAAUGGGUGUAUGUGUCUCCAUUAUAUAAUUUGACGUUGAAAGUAUACCCAUGCUCCGUCUUCAAGUAAACUCUCUUUACCUCCAUAUCAUCUAUAGCACUAAAACCUAUCUUAUCCAAGACAAAAAUUCUUGCAUGGCAGGGGAUGCGCUAGUAGAAUAGUGAAAAUUUAAAAUUAUAAGUUGAAGCAAAUGAAGCAUAAGUUUUGCAUUCAAAUAAUAAUUUACAAAGUGACUUACUGUAUCAACUUCGAAUGUCUCAUCCAGCUUGAUGCUGAAGCGCCUACCAUCAACAAGGAAAUUUUGGUCGCACAGGCCGCGCUGGUCUUCACAGUGUUCGCACAAAAUAAAAUCUUUUUCGUCGUCAGAUGACAUUUCCUAUGUUCAUAUAGGUGAAACAUUAAACACCUAUAUCUAGCCAAAUAUAUAUUCAUCUAACAUUUGACAUUAAUAUAUCUAACUAUAUAUUCAAUUGACAUUACUAUAUAUUUAACUUUUCUAUCUAAUUCAUCUAACAUUCGACAUUAAUCUAACAUUUAUAUAAACUCAAAAUAUAUAAAAAAUUAAAUAAACAGAAAAACUCAUUAACAAAUAAUAUUUUAAUUAGAUCAUCAAAUCUCAUAUACCUAANNNNNNNNNNNNNNNNNNNNNNNNNNNNNNNNNNNNNNNNNNNNNNNNNNNNNNNNNNNNNNNNNNNNNNNNNNNNNNNNNNNNNNNNNNNNNNNNNNNNNNNNNNNNNNNNNNNNNNNNNNNNNNNNNNNNNNNNNNNNNNNNNNNNNNNNNNNNNNNNNNNNNNNNNNNNNNNNNNNNNNNNNNNNNNNNNNNNNNNNNNNNNNNNNNNNNNNNNNNNNNNNNNNNNNNNNNNNNNNNNNNNNNNNNNNNNNNNNNNNNNNNNNNNNNNNNNNNNNNNNNNNNNNNNNNNNNNNNNNNNNNNNNNNNNNNNNNNNNNNNNNNNNNNNNNNNNNNNNNNNNNNNNNNNNNNNNNNNNNNNNNNNNNNNNNNNNNNNNNNNNNNNNNNNNNNNNNNNNNNNNNNNNNNNNNNNNNNNNNNNNNNNNNNNNNNNNNNNNNNNNNNNNNNNNNNNNNNNNNNNNNNNNNNNNNNNNNNNNNNNNNNNNNNNNNNNNNNNNNNNNNNNNNNNNNNNNNNNNNNNNNNNNNNNNNNNNNNNNNNNNNNNNNNNNNNNNNNNNNNNNNNNNNNNNNNNNNNNNNNNNNNNNNNNNNNNNNNNNNNNNNNNNNNNNNNNNNNNNNNNNNNNNNNNNNNNNNNNNNNNNNNNNNNNNNNNNNNNNNNNNNNNNNNNNNNNNNNNNNNNNNNNNNNNNNNNNNNNNNNNNNNNNNNNNNNNNNNNNNNNNNNNNNNNNNNNNNNNNNNNNNNNNNNNNNNNNNNNNNNNNNNNNNNNNNNNNNNNNNNNNNNNNNNNNNNNNNNNNNNNNNNNNNNNNNNNNNNNNNNNNNNNNNNNNNNNNNNNNNNNNNNNNNNNNNNNNNNNNNNNNNNNNCAUGUGUGUGUGUAUGUGUGUGGUAUAUGUGUCUGUGUGUGUGAGGCCCCGUACGCGGCCGCCCCGUACGUACGAGCGGGGGCGCCGGCGUACGGGGCGGGGGCGCCGGUGUGUGUGUGUGUGUGUGUGUGUGUGUGUGUGUGUGUAUGUAUGUGUGUGUAUGUGUGUGCGGGAGCGAGAGAGAGACGUACGGCCGCGGCGAUGGCGACGGACGGCGGCGGCGUUCGGGGCGGCAGCGCGAGACGACGACGACGACGGGCGGCGGCGGGGACAGCGACGAUGACGACGGACGACGGGCGGCGAUGACGGGAUCUAGCGGCGCGCGCGGCGGAGGUUGAGACGAAGUGGGGAUGAAACUGAAAUUUUCGUGAGAGCUAUAUAUAUAUAGGGAUGGGCCUUUAGUACCGGUUGGUGGCUCCAACCGGUACUAAAGGCCUAUUUUCGCCAGGCCAAGCGGCAGGAAACGAAGGCUUUUAGUACCGGUUGGAGCCACCAACCGGUACUAAAGGGGGGGCCUUUACUACCGGUUGGAGCCACCAACCGGUACUAAAGGCCUUGCGCUGCCACCCCAAAGUUUAGUCCCACCUCGCCCGGCGAAGGGCAGCCGCACUGGUUUAUAAACCCAGCCGCGGCUACCUCUUCGAACUCCUCUAUAUAGCAAGCUUCUGGGCCUAAUUAAUUAGGGCGCGCUGCCCUGUGAGUCUGCUGGCCCUCCUGGGCCUGCAUUUGCACACCCUAGGUCUGGCAGACCCACAGGGCAGUGCGCCAACAAAUUUUUUAUAUAGUUUUUUCUUUUCUACAUUACUUAUUUUCUUUUAUUUAUUUUUGAGUAGUUUUUUAUAUAUUUUUUUCUUUUCUGCAUUAUUUAUUUUCUUCUAUUUAUUUUUGAGUAAUUUUUUGUAUAGUUUUUUAUUUCUGCAUUAUUUAUUUUUGUAUAGUCCGAAACCCUGAUACUCGGAAAGAGUUUUUCCAGUUUGUACACGAAGUCCGUCCAGUUUUUGCCGUGACCCUCUCUACUCUUUCGCGCAUGCUAUGCGGGUGAUAUGAUGAUACCAUGCCAAGUUUCAACAUUUUCAGAAUUCAUUUUGUAGUGAUUUUCAAUUUCACGGUCAUUUAGCUCUCUAAACAAUUAGGUAAAUGACCGAAAAACAACAAAUGAUGUCAGAACAUGUUGGAAAUUGAUGACGUCGCUUUAAAUGCUGCAUACUGAACACAAAAGAAGUCCGGAGUUCAAAUAAGUUUAAAAAACAUUGAAGUGGCCAUGUAACAGAUGAGUUCUCGUCCGAAACCCUGAUACUCGGAAAGAGUAUGUCCAGUUUGUACACGAAGUGCGUCCAGUUUUUGCCGUGACCCUCUCUACUCUUUCGCGCAUGCUAUGUGGGUGAUAUGAUGAUACCAUGCCAAGUUUCAACAUUUUCAGGAUUCAUUUUGUAGUGAUUUUCAAUUUCACAGUCAUUUAGCUCUCUAAACAAUUAGGUAAAUGACUGAAAAACAACAAAUGAUGUCAGAACAUGUUGGAAAUUGAUGACGUCGCUUUAAAUGCUGCAUACUGAACACAAAAGAAGUCCGGAGUUUAAAUAAGUUAUUAAAAAUCAAAAAGAGGUGCAAUGCUGGUUAAUUUGCUUCAAGCCAUUCGGAAUAGUGUAGACUGCACUGCACAUAGCUCAGUGCAAUCUAUGCUAUUCCGCAAGGCCUGAAGUUAAUCAACAUGUAGGUGAGCAUUGCAACUUUUCGUCAUUGUCUGUGCACUCACGGCUCAUAAACCGCUCAUACUGCCUCUCUCUUGGCGAAGAUCACAAGAUAGUUUGGUUAAAUUGCAUUACUUGUAAGUCCAGUUAACAUGGAUGCUUAUGAUGCAAGAGCAAGAGCAAAAGUGAAAAUUUGGCACAAAUAGGUAGUUGUGUAACUAAAAUAGGUAGGAGGAGAGAUAGCUCUUAUGUCACAAAAAAGAAGUUGUAUCAAACCUUUUAUGUCGGAUCUAGAACAAACCAAUCGGUAUCGCCAUCAUACAGCCCAACCGUGGCUCGUGAUGCAUAUAUAUGCAUAUCAAAUGCACGGUUGGACGUAUGAUGGAGAAUCCGAAUGAUUUGUAUUCAGUCGAUGAACUGGUAGAUGUAUGCAGUCAAUGAACUGGUAGAUGUAUGUAGUCGAUGAACUGAAAGACUUAUGCAGGGAAGGCGAGAGGUGGGCUAUAUAUAGGGUCGUCUGGCUCACAAAGUGAUUGUGGUAGUUUCGAUCCAACGACUCACAUGAGCUAGGAAGAAACACACCCUUGAUCCAACGACUCGCAAGAGCUAGAAAGAAACACACGAUCCAUGUGAUUCUUCCUGAUUGGUGGGAUGCACAUUAGUACCCACUCCGGACUCCGAAACCCUGAUACUCGGAAAGAGUUUGUCCAGUUUGUACACGAAGUGCGUCCAUUUUUUGCCGUGACCCUCUCUACUCUUUUGCGCAUGCUAUGCGGGUGAUAUGAUGAUACCAUGCCAAGUUUCAACAUUUUCAGGAUUCAUUUUGUAGUGAUUUUCAAUUUCAUGGUCAUUUAGCUCUCUAAACAAUUAGGUAAAUGACCGAAAAACAACAAAUGAUGUCAGAACAUGUUGGAAAUUGAUGACGUCGCUUUAAAUGCUGCAUACUGAACACAAAAGAAGUCCGGAGUUUAAAUAAGUUAUUAAAAAUUAAAAAGAGGUGCAAUGCUGGUUAAUUUGCUUCAAGCCAUUCGGAAUAGUGUAGACUGCACUGCACAUAGCUCAGUGCAAUCUAUGCUAUUCCGCAAGGCUUGAAGCUAAUCAACAUGUAGGUGAGCAUUGCAACUCUUCAUCAUUGUCUGUGCACUCACGGCUUAUAAACCGCUCAUACUGCCUCUCUCUUGGCGAGGUGGGACUAAAAACAGCUUGCCAUAACCUCAUUACUACCGGUUCGUGGUACGAACCGGCACUAAAUGGUGAUGGUGGGGCCAUAGCCUGACCGCAGGCUGACGCAGCCUCUUUAGUACCGGUUCGUGGCAUGAACCGGUACUAAAGGUUCGCCACGAGCCGGUACUAUUUAUCGCCGCCACGAACCGGCACUAAUGUACACAUUAGUGCCGGCUCUAAUUCAAACCGGCACUAAUGUGCUUCACGUUUGACCCUUUUUCUACUAGUGCUAGUGCUAUGCAUUUUCUAGGAACUUUUUGGUAACUUGUUGCCAAAGGGGGAGAAGAUGUAUAGAUCAUAGGCUUCGAGAGAGAGAGUGUUGCUUUUCUCUCUUGUUUUAUUUGGUGGUUUUCUUUGAACUUUGUUUGCUUGUGUGCCUGUGAGACAUCGAUGAUCAUGUGUUUGAUCAUAAGCUACACUUAAUGUUUGCUUGAUGCUUGCUUAAAUAUUAUCAUUCUAUCUAUCGUUUGUGAUCAUUCACUAUUCUUGGUGAUGAGUGCAUGUAUUUCAUUCUUAUCAUUUUGAGCGCUUCACCAAGAUGUAUGUGACAUGGAAGAGUAACCGAUGACUCUAACUCUUUGUGCAUUUGCAGUCCAAAGCAAAUUUUAAAUAUGCACAAAUUUAGGGGGAGCUCUUACUUAUCACAUACUUCUCAAAGCGACAAUACAUUUCAUGCUUAUUAUCAUUUGUCGAAGCUUUGAUCUAUAUGUUGUCAUCAAUUACCAAAAAGGGGGAGAUUGAAAGUGCAACUAUCCCUAGGUGGUUUUGGUAAUUCAUAACAACAUAUAGCUCAUUGGGCUAAUACUAUUUCAAGAUAAUUAUUUCAGGAAAGCUCAAUGAUUGGCAUGGCAUGGAUGUGAAAGUGGAACCCUCAAAAUGCUAAGGAUAAUGGAUUGGCUCAAGCUCAAAAGCUCAAGACUCUUCAUUUUAUAUUUUAGUGAUCCAAGAUCACAUUGAGUCCAUAGGAAAAGCCAAUACUAUCAAGGAGGGAUGAGGUGUUGCUUAAUGAGCCUCUUGCUUCAUGUGCUUAAUGAUAUGCUCCAAAAUCCUCAACCACUUUCCCACUUCCACAAAUGACCAAAACUCUAAGCCAAACUCGGUCCUACCGAUUUUUCCUAUCCGGCGCCACCGAGUUUCACUUGUCAUUAGCCAUUGCCAAACCCUAGCAAUUCGGUCCUACCGAUAAGGAUCUCGGUCCCACCGAGAUGGGGUUGCAAACUCUCUGUUUCCCUUCCGUAACUUUUCGGUCCCACCGAAAGAGCGAAUCGGUCCCACCGAGAUUGCAAUGUAAACUCAGUGUUUCCCCUUUGUAACUUUUCGGUCUCACCGAGUUCCACUCGGUCUCACCGAAAGAGCAAAUCGGUCCCACCGAGUUUGCCUGACCAACUCUCUGGUUAGCUAAUUACCAAAUUCGGUCUCACCGAGUUUGUGUAAUCGGUCUCACCGAGAUUACGUUAUGCCCAAACCCUAACCAUAUCGGUCCUACCGAGUUGCAUGUCAGUCCCACCGAAAUUCCUAACGGUCACUAGGUUUACUAUUUCGGUCAGACCGAGUUUAUUGAUUCAGUCCCACCGAGAUUGGAAAACUGUGUAACAGUUGGAUUUUGUGUGGAGGCUAUAUAUACCCCUCCACCUCUUUCUCAUUCCAUGAGAGAGCCAUCAGAACACACACAUCAUUCCAACUCAUUUGUUCUGAGAGAGAACCACCUACUCAUGUGUUGAGACCAAGAUAUUCCAUUCCUACCAUAUGAAUCUUGAUCUCUAGCCUUCCCAAGUUGCUUUCCACUCAAAUCUUCUUUCCUCCAAAUCCAAAUCCUAUGAGAGAGAGUUGAGUGUUGGGGAGACUAUAAUUUGAAGCACAAGAGCAAGGAGUUCAUCACCUACACACCAUUUGUUACUUCUUGGAGAGUGGUGUCUCCUAGAUUGGCUAGGUGUUACUUGGGAGCCUCCGACAAGAUUGUGGAGUUGAACCAAGGAGUUUGUAAGGGCAAGGAGAUCGCCUACUUCGUGAAGAUCUACCGCUAGUGAGGCAAGUCCUUCGUGGGCGAUGGCCAUGGUGGGAUAGACAAGGUUGCUUCUUCGUGGACCCUUUGUGGGUGGUUGCUUAUUCGUGGACCCUUCGUGGGUGGAGCCCUUCGUGGACUCGCGCAACCAUUGCCCUUGGGUGGAGCCCUAUGUGGACUCGCGCAACCGUUACCCUUCGUGGGUUGAAGUCUCCAUCAACGUGGAUGUAGGAUAGCACCACCUAUCCGAACCACGGGAAAAACAUCCGUGUCUCCAUUAUCGUUUGAACUCUCCAAACCCUUCCCUUUACAUUCUCGCAAGUUGCAUGCUUUACUUUCCGCUGCCCAUAAACUCUUUGCAUGCUUGCUUGAAUUGUGUGAUGAUUGCUUGACUUCUUCUAAAAUAGCUAAAAUCUGCCAAGAACUAAAAUUGGGAAAAGGUUAAGUUUUUAUUUGGUCAAGUAGUCUAAUCACCCCCCCUCUAGACAUACUUUUGAUCCUACAGACGUCCACUUGACGCGUGGCUCGCUGGUCCUGCCCCCCUGCUUCUUCUUUUCCCUUUCCUCACCGGCUCAGGCGCCGGCUCCUCCUCCUCCUCCUCGCCGUAGUCGAGGUCGUUGUCCAUGUCGCCGGCGAGGUCCAUUGUAUCCUCUUGAGCCUGGAACCCGGGGGAAGAAGCGGCGGCGGUCGAGCCGCUCGUGAUGAUCGCGUCCAUGUCGGCUUCCGUCGCGUCGGUGUUGCCGAAGUGCGAUGACGAGGCUUGCGAGAAGUGCAGGGCGCCACGACGCAGAGGCGCCGUCAGGGAGGCGACGUAAGUCGGUGGUGAGUAGGUGUACGGGGGCACUGGACGUCGCCGAACGCGGGCGAGGGCGUGCGCUGGUCGGGAUUCAGACCGGAGUGUGAGGCGCGCUAGCCAUGCGGAAAGGUGAUGUUCGGGUUGAAUCCGCCGUGUGCGUCGCCGUCGGCGUAACCAGGUGACGGUGGGCACCCCCAGGGCUGCGGCGACAGCAAGAAGCUGGCCAGCGACCCGACGCUCUGCUGGCUCCAGGCAGCUUGCGGGCCAUGGCCGCCGGGUGGAUUCAUCAUCCCCGCAUGAGACGCCGCUUCCGCUCGCUCCGUCGCCGCCCUGUCCCGGGCCCUCUUGGUUGAGCCUUUUCCGCCGAUCGGUGUUGACAGCCUCACGGCGCUGAACCUCCGCCUUCUAGUCGGUGUUCGACAUGCCCGGUGGUUUUGCAAGCGGUGCCCUCAGCUUCCUCUGCUUCGGCUGGGUGGCAUCGGCAAAGGCAGCGUCUGGAGGAGCCGUAUACUUGUUCGGUGGCAUGGCGGGAUGGCGGCUGGAUAGUGGGGAGAGGGAGGAGAAUGGCGGGAGAAGAGAGCAGAAGGGGGGAAUGGAGGGGAAAGCGGAGGAUGGGCGGAAAAAAGUGCCGUCUCUCUCCGACAGAGCGGACCCGCAUGCCUUUUUGCUUCAGCCGGCGGUCGGCGCCCCCAGGCGGCCUCCGGGGGCUUGGGUUCAGCUCGGGUUUGCCGGCUAUUAUUUCAGCCCAAACCGGCGAUAAACAAGGUUCUGGGGGCGUGACUGGGCCGAUUUUCCGGCGCUGGCGCUAAAAAAUGGACUGGGGGACCUGUUGGCGACGCGGCUGGAGAUGCUCUUAUAGUGGAUGUUCCAAAGACAAUAGUAACACACAUAACGGACUACAAUUAUAGUGGAUGUUCCAAAAGCUUUUUUAGGGUACCCUCUAGUGAAUAAGGACCGUCCAUCCGCAAAAUCAAACGGCCAUGACCGACCUGUACUGCUGCAAUCAGGCCAACAACAUGGCAAGCAGUAUUAAUAGCACUGGUCGUUCUCGACCAACCAGUAUACAUGUUCUAAGGUCAGCUUCUACGAUUCACCCCGCGCCGACCCACCCCGCCCGUUGUUCUCAUCUACGGACUCUGGUAGAGUUCCGGUGGCCACCGCUGUGCCUCCUCUUUCUUCUCCAGCGUGUCGUUGGUGGAGUGGGCUGUGGUCGAGUUCCAGGCGGUGGUAAACGGGUCCGAUACCGACUGGGUCCAGAAGAAGAGGCUGGCUCGGCUAGGGUUCCUCUUCCUUUCCUUCUUUAUAUAGAUCGAUACGGCACCGCCGCCUCCCCCAAAUCCCCGAACCAGCGCAGGCAACCAACAGACCAACCAACCUCGAAACCCAAGAUCUACGUCGACAGCAGAGGAAUCAUCGAGAAGAUCAAGGCCAUGGCGGGCAAGGACGAGGCUGGGAAGUGGAUGCUGAGGCCUUGCAGCGCCGCCAAGUCCACGGAGGCCGACGACCAUGGUUCGGCCAAGUGUAUCUUGAGGCCUUGCAGCGCCGCCAGGCUCACGGAGACCGGCGGCCAUGGUACGGCGACGCGGUUCCCCUCCAAGAGGAAGGCAGCCGCCGGAUCCAGCUACAAGGAGGGCGGCGAUUCUUUCGAUUCAGACAAGGGGGAGGCUAAGAUGGACAAUAUGCUUGGGGAGGCGAAUCUGCCGUCCGUCGUCGCCAAUCAGCCGGCCGCAGCGCCGCCAGGUCUGACCAAGGGCAAAGUCCGGUUGUCGAAAGCCGAGAUCAGGAACAUAGUUGCCCUUAAGCCGGAGAAACUUCCCAGCGCCGAUUACCUGGACGAUCUGGCAGAGUAUUUUCCUCCGGAGUGGAUCGAGGAAAGGAAGCGCGCCCACGCUGACAAUGCAGAGCUUUUCAAGAAGAUGGACGACGAUUUCGAAGAGUACCGGCAGCAGGUCCUCACGUCUGUGUGGGACAAGGGCUACUUCGAGGUUGAUGAAGACUUCAUCGCUAACAGAAACAGAGCCAAUGAGUUGGGUCUCGAACUACAGAGGCGGAUUCUCUCGCCUAUUCCCGCCAAGUAUUGUGCUACCCCGGAGGACAGUAUAAGGGAUGCAGACGGUUAUAUCCCAUACGUUCCUGACCAAGAUGAUGCUCUUGUUGAAGAUCUUGUGAUUGAUGGUCAAGUUGUGGUUCUCAAAGAUUAGGCUUGAAGACAGAGUGCAGGGCGCCAAAUUCAACUCAGAAGAUGGCUCGUUUUUAUUAAUAUAUGGGUACUAUUAGCAUAUAAUUAAUCUGUGUUAUGAUGGAUCCUUCCACCCGUCCUUGUUAUCUGUCUAUGUUAUUGGCCCAUCUCCUGCUGUGUUAUACAGUAGUAGUACUUGGCAAUGAACCCAAAACAGUUUUAUCGU
rnacentral:lncRNA from 1 species